rnacentral:lncRNA from 1 species
AGAAAACCUCAGGUGCAAUGUAGCCCAAAGUUCCCCUGGCUGCAGUCAUCGACACCGUGCUCUGAUUUUUCGGACACAACUUGGCUAGUCCAAAAUCAGUGAUUUUUGGGACAAAAAGGUUAUCUAGCAAAACAUUGUGAGGAUUGAUGUCAAAGUGAAGAAUUCUAUGAUCACAGCCGAGGUGGAGAUACUCAAUUCCUCUGCCAACACCAAGAGCAAUUUGUUGCAACUUCUCCCAACCAAGGAAAACAUCCUUGUUGUCCGCUGGAGCCAAGAAUCUCUGCAACGACCCAUUUGGAAAGAAAUCGUAGACGAGAGCACGGUGGAACUCAUCUGCGCAGAAACCAAGCAGACGAACAAUGUGAACGUGAUGAAUUUUCCCAAUGGCCCUCACUUCAUUUAUGAAAUCCUUCCCAUCUCCCACUGUGUCUUUGAGUAUCUUCACAGCAACAAGAAUUUCACGAGAGAGCAUUCCUUUGAACACUGCUCCAUGAGAUCCUUCCCCUAAACUCUCACUAAAACCAUUUGUGAUUCUCUUGAUGUCAGCGUAAGUGAACCUGGUAGGCUUCAUUGCCCUGUAAUCCUCCAAGAAUUUCUCUAUUCGAGUCUGGUCUUCUCCUCUCUUUUCAUAAUAGUCAUACGCAUAAAACAAUGCCUUGACCAGUAGCAGCAAAAGUAUCAAACCAACUACUCCCCCUGUUGGUGAGAAAAUAAGUUAAACAAAUGAGGUUGUUGGAAUCAACAAAAUAGCAAAACCAUAACAUAAUAAUCACUGUAAUACUGCACACCUGCAGCAAUGUGGAUGAAAGCUGACGUGGGAAUCCUUUUUGUUCGGCAAGCAUAACAUUCAGUUCCACCGUUAGUACCAUUCCUCCAUUUACAUUUUUGGCCCUGUGCUUCACAGUAUCCACAGUCAGGUUUUGACCAUUCCAUAACUAACUUCACCCCAUUAUACCAAUACAACCAUUCGACGGAAACAUCUUUCAGCUUCGUGCAGGAUACUAAUCGAGGAUCAACAACGUCGUUGUGGGAUUCUAGUAGCGAAAUAGGGCACGACAAUGAGUCGCAACAGAAGAAGGAAACGUCAAACUUAGGAGGAGGACGACCAAGACUUUUGGGGAAUCGGAAUGGAGAGAUGGAUGCAUUGCCGAGUUUCAAGAGUUGAUCGGGAAGGCAAUUUUGGGGGUCAUAUAUUUCAAUUAGCGUAGAUUCGUAAUCAAUUUCUCUGACAAACAAUUGUAUCGGAAGUGCAGGCAGCUCCAGAAUGGGCUCAUUUUGUUGGGUGCAUAACAGACCGAACUCAGGCGGGUAGUCGGUGGUGUGAUUCAAGUUUUUAUUUCUGAGAUAAAAUGGAAAUUGAAUGCGAACGUUGCCACAUUUAUCAGCGCAGUGGUUAUUGCCGGUCGCAGGAUUCCCUACCAGAAACAGCAGCGUCCAUAGAAGAGACAGCUUCUGAAAAUUAAGCAUGUUGAUUUGCAGUUUCAUGUUAUUUUCUUGUCAUAUCAUGUUUAACAUGGCCGGAUUGCGCCGGCUGGAUGUACCAGAAACUCCGCCUUGUCUUACUGGUAAGUGAAUUCAAUGAUUUAUUGGUCUGGAUUUUCUUUUUUUAAGAAGAAAAUGCCAAGACGUGGUAUAAUUUUACAUGAACAAGCUAGAUAGGGAAAUAACCCGCCUUUUCCUGUCCUGUGCCUUGUGUUUUUGGUGGGAUUAAUUAACAUGAUAUUUAUAGUGGAUCGUCUUACUCUUUUAAAUUUACUUUUUAUUAAAAAUCAAAUUUCAAGAUAUUAAAAAUUUUUAAAUGAAUAAGCUAGUCUAAUAAUCCGUGUGAAUAACCUUACAAAUAAUUUUUCAAGACUAUUGUUAAAAAUUCAAUAAUUUGGUUGAAUAAUAUUGGUAAUGUAUUAAAUGUGAUUAAUAUACAUAUAGAUAAGUACAUAUUAUUUAAAUUGCUAAAACGCGAAUGUAGAAAAUAAUUAAGAGUAGUAGUGAUUUUUAAAAGAUAACAUUUGAUUAUUUUAUUAUUUAAAAAGUUAAUAUUAUAAAUAUAAUUUUUUAUUAGUUGAGUUUUAUUUAAAAGAAUUAUAAUCUUUUUAAAACCUUUUUCUAAACUCUUUUUUACAUUCUCUUUAUAUCUCUUACUUCAUCCUUUAUUUGUUUGAAGAUUGAGUAUAUAAUAGGACUUCUGACAUUGAGGUUUAUAAUCGUACCAUAUCAAAAUUUUGAAAGUAAGUUCAUCUUUUACUUUUUCCUUGAGUCUUGAAUAAAUUUGUUGCAUGUGGGGGUUAUGAAUUUGUAUACGAUGUUAAAGGGUUCAAGGUGAAUUUCUGUUUGGUUAUGAUUGUAAUGGUGUGUUCUAAUCGUUGAUUAGAGUUCUUUGUGGACACAUAGAGCAAUGUGUGUGAUAAAGCUUGUCUAGAGCACCUUUUGAGUUUAGGAGCAUCUAUCACGAAAGAGAAGCUAGUAAAUUAUAAUAUAGCUAAUUAAAUUUAAUUGGUUGUUAGAAGCAUGGUUUGAUUGAUCAUGAUAAAUCUGUGAUUCUCAAUCACUAGAUUUAGUAUACAUUUUAAAAUUAAAUACUAUCUAAAGUUUAAAAAUAAGAAAUGGUAAUUAAAUUUUAAAAAAUAUAUACAAUAUUACAAUUAGUAAUCCCAAAUGUAGGUUGGAGGGAAUGAAGAACUAUAGGAAAGACUACUAGAGGAGAGGGACACCAAGAGAGGGAAGAAUGAAGAGGGAAACACUAAAGAAAGGAGAAAACUAAAGGCAUGUGUGACAAACUUAGUGAGCAUAAAGGAAUGACCAAUGAACAACAAUAAUCAACAUGGAGACCACCAACAACAACAUGAACCCAGGCACCAUCACUAGCAUGUGAACAAGAACACCAGUAGUACACACACUAGCCAUAGUAAGGGCAUCAACAUUAACCCCCAUAAUGACACAAAUGCAAACCACAAGUGAAGUACUUGAAAAACACUAGAGGGGGGGGGGGGNGAAUAGUGUUAAUGAAAAAAUUCUUUUUGCAACCCUUUUGAUAUAGCAAUUCUCGAGCUUUAUGAUUUCUUUUACAUGUUUAGAUGCUCGACCUAAUAAAGGAUUAUAACAAGAAAUGUUUUUGUCGUGUUAUUCAAAAUGUACUUUGUAGAGUUUAUAAGAACUUCCUAUAUUCAAGAGUAAUCGUUUAGCUUGGAAGGUUCUUGUAUUUUAGAAAUGAAACACAACUACAAGUUUUUUAAGAGAAACCUUUAAUUAAGAGAAGAAGUGAAUGCACAAAUAUUUUAUAUUGGUUCGCUCCACCUGAGCUACAUCAAGUCUUCUCCGCAAAGAGUUCCACUAUAAUCUUCAACAAGAUUAGAACUGAGUAUUCUCACCGUUCCUGGUCUCGGUCAACGAAUAACCACCUGUUACCCUAAACUAGAUGAGUAUUCUCACAACUCCUGGUUUCAGUCACAAUACAUGCACAAUAGGUCCUGUUCUAAGUGUUGGAACGUAAUCGAAAUUAUAAUUGUUUUCACAUAAAAUAUUAAAACAAAUACUAAAUUAAAAUAAAAGUAGUGAUAAUUAGAUUCAUCCAAGAAAACAAAAGAAUGUUAUAGGAAUGAAUGCCCAAACAUCAAUACUCAUAACACAUUAGGAUUAAGUGAGAAAACAAAUAAAAAAUCAUUAAAUCAAAUACAAGUUUAAGAAAAAAAAAAGAAAAUAUUCAAUAACAACUUAAUAAAAUUGAUCAUAUUUAAAAGAAAUAAAAAAAAACUAAUUAAUUAUAUGUAAUAUUUAAGUAUAUUUAAUUUUAAUAAUUAAUCCUAUAAAUGAUCAUCUAUAUAUAACUUAAUAUUUAUUUCAUUCAAUCAAACUUUAUAAUCAUUUCAAAAAGAUGAUUUAAUUUUCCCUAAUAGGUUUCAAUUUCAAGAAAUACGAAGUUUUUCAAAAUGUAGUGAUAUUUUUUUAAUUAUAAGUAUAGGCUUUCAGUUCUAAAAUAGCUAAAGCCUAUACUUUGACCUCAUGGUAUAGAGGAAUCGAAGCUUGUACUUGUGAGAGGUCAAGGUAUGCACUUUGAUUAUCUUAGAACUAAAGUUUUUGUAAAUGAUUUCAAAAAUAUUACUACUUUUUUGAAAGGUUUUACCAUAGGUUUCAAAGUAUAGGCUUCAGUUUAGGUUAAAUCGAAGCCUAUACCCUAGCAACAAGAGACUAGGCUUUGAUUAUUUCAUAUUUACCUCCACUAUAGUCCUUGUUUUUAGAAAAUGGGUUUAAGCCUAACUCAACCCCACAAAACUGGCUUGUAAGGUGAGGUUUGCACCCCACUUAUAUAUAUUAUAAAUUGGUCUUAUCUUUAGUCAAUGUGAGACUUCCAAUACACCCCGUUCACGCCGAGGUAUAGACAUCUCGUGCGUGAUAGUAUAAAUUGGAUGGUCCAAUAGCUGAUCGACAACAAGUGGAAUAAAAAUGUCCAAGAAACAAGAAAUGUCUAGGAUAUGCUUCAACCAGGCUCUGAUACCAUAUUACAAAGUGAGUUUAAGUCUAACUCAACCCUACAAAACCGGCUUGUAAGGUGAGAUUUGCACCCCACUUAUGUAAUAUAAAUUGGUCUUAUCUCUAGUCGAUGUAUGUGGAACUUCCAAAACUUGUUGAUUUUCAUUUUUGUAUUCAUUAUCGCAUAUCUUCCUUCUCGUUUCUUGUUUAUCUUUUUUUCGUUCUUAUUUUUCUCUUCCUUCUCCUAAUGAUGUUUGUCUUUUGGUUUUGGUGUUGUCAGUGCAUUUUGGUGGUCAUUGUCAUCUUUUUGCAUUAAGACAUUGCAACAUUACAUGUUUGUGUUUGUCUUGAUUUAUUGCGCUUGAGAUACCACAUGAUUAUUGUUGUGUUGAUUGUUGGUUCGAGUUUGAACAAUUAGUUUUGGUCACUUUCACUCUAAUUUUUUUCUUGCUUUCGUUUGAGUGAGACAUACUGCUUUUAUCUUUGUUUAAUUGUUUUAUGUUUUGGUUGUAUUACCAACCAAAAUCUAUUCCUAAAGUACAAACUUUAUAUUAAAACUUAAACUCUAAAAUAUAUAUGUAAUUUAUAACAAAAUAUAUAUAUGUUUAUUGUAACAAAAAUAAAAUAACCAAAAAAAUCAAUACUAAAACUUUUCGUUAUACUAAUACAUGUAAUUUAUAUCAAAAUGAAAAUAAAUAAAUAAAUAAAGAACGAACCCCAAUUUUGACAUGUGAAAACAAUUUUUAUUUUAUCCUCCUCGAGUAACAAUUUACCCUUUUCUUUAUAUAUAUAUAUAUAUAUAUAUAUGAAAUUCUUAUCUUACCUACAUCCAAAUAUUUAUUAAACAAUCUUUUUACAUAAAAUAAGUCUUAACAAAGAUAUAAAACGGUAGUAAUAAUAAUAAUAUAAAUAUCAAAUACAAAAUAGAAAUAAUAAUAAUAAUAAUAAUAAUAAUAAUAAUAUAAAUAUCAAACAAAAAUAUAAGUAAUAAUGAAAUAAAAAUUAAAUAAUUAGAAAAAAUAAAAAUAAUUAAAUAUAAAAUUAUACAAGUUAUUAAAUUAAAUAUUAAAUAAAAGUUAAUAUAAUUUUCUUAAAUUAUAUGAUAAAUUAAAAAAAAUAGUAAUUUAAAGGAAGAGGAUUAAAGGGAUAUAACGAGCUACACAUAUAUAAUCGAUUUAAAAAAUCAACCAUCAUUUAUUAAUAAUUUGAGGUAGUAGUCCGGCCAUUGGUAAUAUUUAAGUGUCAUUUCCUCCAAUUUGAGGAGAAGAGAUAACAAUGUCUGUUUUACCUUGUUGCAGUCGCUGCGCACAAUUGGUGGUUCUCUCUAUGGCCACCAUUCUCCUGCUAUUCCACCAAACUUGCUGCGCCAAGCAUGGCACAUCCUGUCCAUCUUCUUCGUGCGGCGAAAUUCGCCACAUAAAACAUCCAUUCCGACUGAAAGACGACCCUCGCGGUUGCGGCCUUCCCCGGUAUGAAUUUGAUUGCGUGAAUAACAGAACAUUGGUUACACUGUUUUCAGGGAAAUACUUUGUGGAGGAAAUCAAUUACGAUAGGUACCAAAUCCGACUGAUUGAUCCAGGUGUUGUGGAGGACACUUCUUGCUCGUUUCCUCGCUAUUUCUUGUACACACAAAAUUUCAGUGCACCUGACAAUGAUAGGCUGAUUACUUUGUCCGGGGAUGAGUAUGGGUAUAAGCCUGCAAAAGUAGUGUUUCUAAACUGUAGUUACCGAGUGAGUGAUGAUCCUCGAUAUGUGAAAGUGAAAUCCGGCGGCGGUUGUGAUUCCGGAGGCUAUACCUACGCCGUGCUGGAUCGCGGUGAGGAGUUUGAUCCGGAAUUUACAGUGAUGGACGUGAAGCCCGGAUGCAGAUUAAAGGUUGCUACCUUCCUAAACUGGACACAUGGCAGUGAUGUUUCCUAUAGAGAGUGGACACAUGACAGGAACGUUUCCUAUGCUGAUAUCCUUAAAUCUCUGGAAGAAGGAUUUUGGUUAACUUGGUUACCAGUUGUCUGUAGGCAUUAUUGUGGAGUUGGUAUCUCUUGCUUCCUCGAUCAAACCACGCAACAAAUUCAAUGCAUAGGUUGUCGUAAGUUCAAUUACUAUGUCAGCAAUUGUGGUGAGAUUUGUUCUUCGCCUCUUAUCGUCUUCAUUUAUCAUUAUUUUUUUCUAAAUUUCUAAACUUUAUAAAACUACAAAUAUGAAUAAAUUGUGUUUUGAUUAAAAAAACUUUGUUUCAAAACAUCACUUUCCAUAACACGGUGAAGGUGUUCAGACUACCACUUUCUUAUAUUUUUUUAAAAAUUAAACUUAUAGUGUGAAACAUAAUUCACUUAAAAAAACGUAGAAAUCAGAUUUUUUUUUUAAAAUAAUCUGUUUAUAAAAAUAUCUAUGUUCAAAAUCUCUAUUUAUUUAUUUCCAGUAAUUGUUUUAAAAUUUACUAAUCUUUGUUAAAAAUAUUUACCUGAAUUAGAAAAAGAUAUACACUUUAUGGUGUUAACAUUUCAACUUCUUAUAUUUUUAAAAUUAAAAAAUUAUUUUGUAAAACGAAACCUCAGUUUAGAAAAAUAGAAAGUAAAAUUAUAUUUUAAAACUACGUAUAUUUUAAAACACAUCUUAUUUAUUUGUAAAAUUUUUAAAAUGUACUAAUUUCCUAAAUUAUUAACGUUGAAAAUCCUAGAUAAAAUUUUAUUCAUUUCAAGAUAAGCUUCAAGUUUAAUUUUGGGUAGCACAUAAUUGAAUAUAAAAUUAAAUAAUAAUGAUGCUUCUAGAUAUUUGAAAAAAAAAAACAUAUAUUUAAGGUUGAACUAAAUUUCAGUUACCUUUAAAAUUUGAUAUGCUGGAGUGAAUUAUUUUUUAAUUUAUAUGUAAAUAAUAUAAUAUUUAAAUUUAGAUUUUUAUCUGUAUAUAAAUAUUUUCUUUUUAUUAUUUUAGGAACUCUAUCACUAAUUGAAGGAUACCUUACAGGUACGCGUACUAAACCAUAUGUCAUCAUGAGAAUUCAAACUAAUUUUAAUUUUAAGUAAUUCAAAUAAAUUAUAUUUGAGUUUCAUAAAAGAGAAAUUUUACAAAUUAAUAUACAUGACUUGCAAACUAUAUAUUUACACGUGUCUUCCUAAAAAUUUUACAUCUAUUUGUCUUUCUAAAAUUUUUACAUGUCUCUUCUAAACGUAUCCUUCGGAAUGAUUGAUUAAACAUACCUAAGGAUGUCUUAUAUUAACAAGAAUUUGAAGUAUUGAAUCUGAAAACAUGCAUUUAAAUUAAAAUUAUUGUAGUAUAUAUACACACACAAUAUCGAUACAUUAUUAAAUAAUUAUAUAUUUAUAUCAUUGUAAACUGGGUUGUAUAAAAGAAGUGAAAUAAUGUUUUUAAACUUUUAGUUAAUUACUAAAACCUCCAAAAAAUUUCCUUGUAAUUAACACAUAAUGUAAAAAAUAAACUAAGAAAACAUAAAGAAUUUAUAAUAGAAAUAAUCAAGGAUAUAAAACAACUCUUUUUGAUGAAUGUUUUUAAAAAAAAUUACUAGUAAGAGCUUUUACCAUGAUUUUACCAAUUGUCUUCAAUUGGGAAAAUCUUUAAAAAGACUUAUGAAGAAAAUCAUUUACUUUUUUUUUAUAGAAUUCUUCUAAAGCUUUAGAACUUGAUUAGAAAUGUUUAAAACUUGUUCACCUAAAUUCCUAUAAAACAAUUGCUUAAAAAUACUGUAUUUUAAGAAAUUAAAAUUUUAGAUUGAAUUUUAUUUAGAUUUGAAUUAGAAAAACAAUUGUUAUUUUUUUUUAAUUGAAAAAAAAAACUUGUAAAUAAGUGAGUCAUUGAGCCAACCCGUUUAACCCACCAGUUCGUAGUGAGCUAGAUUGGGUUUAAAUUUUUUCAACUCACUAAUAUAUGAACCAGAGUAAAUUGAUUUACUAUCACUACUGCAGAAAACGCUUUAGACGUCUGUUAUUUUGGCCUUUUAACGACGUCUGUGUGGGUGCCGUUAAUAAAAGGUCGGACUGGAGAAGACCGAUGUUUAUAUAAAUGUCGGAUGUGGCAUUAACCGACAUCUACUGGGUGUUUUUUUUAAAAAUUAAUUUAUUUUUACAAUAAAACCACACAUGAAAAAUAGUUAGUAAACCAAUUAAGUAAACUAAUUAAGUAAACUUUAAUGAACUUUUACAUAAAACAACACAUACCCAUCAAUGUAUGACACAAGGUAUACGUCUUUAUUUGACUCAGCCAUCCAUGUUUGCAAAUAAUAUUGUUUUCUUUCAAGUGUGUUACCAGAAGGUUGAAUAGUUUGAGGUUCAAAAAAUCCGUACAUGGAAGACCGACCUUGGUCUAUAGUUACUAUGUCCAUGUACCUAAAACAACAAAGUUAAGUUUUUAGAAACUAGGAAUCUAAAUAAAACUAAUAUGGAAGACAAAAUUAACUAUCUUACAUGCACCAUAGUUGAAGGAUGGAAAUAUUCAACAUCUUGUCUCCCCUAAUUAUCUCCAAUGCAUCAUUGAAUGUGAUAUAUACUGACUCAUGGAGGGGAGGGGGGGGGGGGGGGCAGACCAAAUACUCUUAAAUCCCAGUAUAUUUCUACUGAUCCUCUAUUGAAGCUGGGUAAUCUUUUCAUUAGCUUUGAUAGAGGAUCAUCCUCCGCUUCAGCAAUCUCAUUAUCUUCAUCUAUGACUGACUCAUGUCUCGGCUGCUUCUGAGGACGUGUGAACUGAUGAUAAGAAUUUCAAAGUUAUCAAUAAAUAUUUUUAAAUUUAACAUAGAAAUACUAAUAAUAAAAAUAUUAUACCUGUGGAGUAGCAAUGUGUGACAUGAUCAAUGCUCUAGGCCAGGCUAUAAAUGAUCCUAUCGCCUCCCCCACAAAAUGAAUUUCUGGAGUGGGUACAUGCACCUAAGCUUGGGGAUCCCGAACCUCAUCAAUCGUCACACGAAGGGGGUGGGAUAAUAUGGGAACACCAGGAAUAGUCUGCCCUCCCUCAAGUACUCGUCCGACAACCACAAUGCGUGGGGGAUCCCCAUCAACCAACAGCUUAUACUGACCACCAUACUUAGUAGGUUCUACAGAAGAGCAUGAUCCUCUAGUGAUGAUACGAGGUGUUGUGGGAGCUUCAGUGGGCAAAUCCAUGGUGCCCUGAGUCAUGGAAUGCAGCUUCUCUUCAAGCGCUCUUUGUAUUUCUUUUUGUUCUUGUAAGUUGCUCCAUGAACCGUUGCUCCAUUGAUCUCAUGCUUUGGUCGAGUCUUUCCUUCCACUGAAGAUCCAUCUGUCUUAGUGCCUCUUGACUCAUUGAUUGAGUGUUUUUUUGUGUAGGGUCAAAGUAGUCACGAAGACUAAUCGCCCCAGGAACUCCACGUACACGUCUUGGGUGCUCGGGCUUUUCAAUGGUUGUUGUUAGAAUGUCGUCCCUACCUUGGCUAGCAAAUGUUCCCUGAAUUUGCUGCUCAACUAACUCAUCCUACACAUAAAAAAAAACUUUGUUACUUAAAAGACAUACAAUGAUAAAUACACAUUCAAACAAUGUUUAGAAUUUGAACUUACAAUUCUUUGUGAGAUCAAGGCAACCGAGGAAGAUGUCAUGUUCCCAUCAGAUUUAGUCCGAGCAAGCUUCCACAGCUCGUACCUAGCAGGUGUAUGUGCUAGGUCGGGGGACUCAAUGCCAAGUCCAAACGGUAUAAGUUCUCAUUAUGCCGAACAUGAAUAAAUGGUCACGCAUAUUGCCUAAGUCUUGCCAUAUUUGAUUAAGACAACGAACACAAGGACAAAAAUAUGUCUCGUUCACAGACUUUGCAUUUUAUUGAACAUAUUGCAAGAACACUGAAACACACUUCUGAUAUUCUUCACUAAUGUGACGUUCAUUCAUCUAACUUCGAUCCUACUAUGUUCGUAACAUACUUCAUCAGUUUCAAUUUUUUAACUCUCACAAGGUUAGGCCCUGCUUAUUCAGAAAAAUUAUUUUUCAUAAAUUGCUAAGACACAUGGAAAGAAGUCUACAUCAUAAAUUUGAUAAGAUUUCGACAACAUUUCGCAUUGGUCUCUGAAUACACAAAAUGAGAGUAGUCAAGGAUGACCACAAUCAAAUAUGCAUCCGGAGAACAACACAAAUACUGAACCAAAUUUUAUGAAUCUUGUCCAUAAACUCCAACAUACAUGUUAUAGCAAAUUAUGAAAAAUAAUUUUUCCAAACUGUCCAAUCGGACAAUUCAAAAUUUAAUCCAAACGAUUAAAAGAUUAGUCGUUUGUGUUAAAUUUCAAACAGGAACUAAGUUUCACUCAAUGAUUUGAUACUUAUAAUUUAACAUGCCAAUUAUAAUAACACAACUAAACUUUAUCACAUGCAUAUAUUAAAAAGCCAAUAACACAUGCAUACCUAAAAGCCAAAAACAUGCAUACGCAAAAGCCAAAAAAAUGCAUACACAAAAGCCAAUAACUUGCGUACAAAAUAAGUUUUCAACAAAGAAGCUAACCUUUUUAGCAUAUUAAAAUAGCAAUGGAGGGAAAUGAAGGAGUGCAUGCCCAAAAACGCAUGCCAGAAAGGGUAAAAAAUGCAGCCCAAGAACACGCUAGAAACUGCACCAAAACGCAACAAAAACAAAUUUUAAUUGGUUCAAAUGGAAGAUAUUUCAUCAAAGAGUAAUUUAAUUGGAGUAAAAGCAAAUUUAAACGGUCCAAAAGAGAGAAAACACACUUGGAAAGCAAUGGCUCAGAGAGAAAAGUGCGAGGAAGAAGACGAUGAAUAGUGGUAACUGCUCACGGGUUCGCGUUUUGCAAUUUAAGAGGCUAUAGACUUCGGGUCGAAGGGGGACCGACAUCUAUAAUAGUAUAAAUGUCGGCGCCUUAGCUAAUAUGACGUCUUUAUGAUUUAAAAAUUAAUAUUUGAGGGGCAUAUAAACGUCGGUUACUAGGGGCACCGACGUCUAAUUGAACUUUUCACCUACCUAUCAAGCGUAUAGACGUCAGUUACAGGGGGGUCGACGUCUAUAAUCGUCUAUAGACGUCGGGGUGGCGGGAUCCGACGUCUAUAUGGCGAAAAAGAAUGACUAUUCACCUACCUGUCAGACAUAUAGACUUCGGUUAGGGGGGGCGAUGUCUAUAAUAUUAUAGACGUCGAGCCCUCCCUAACCGACGUAUAUAAUGUCAAUUUAUUUACGAAAAUGUCAUCGGUUAAUAAUUUAUGUUGGAUAUUCUCUAGUGUGACAUUUAAGAGGUGACGUUAAAAACCAAUUCUGUACUAAUACAUGUGACUCAUGACAUAGGUCGAAUCAAAUUUAGUUAGGUAACUAGUUUUAACAACACUACUUAAACAACAAAAACUUGAAAGGGAAAGAAGAUUUCUACACAUCUCUCUUUAGUAUUAAUUCAUCAUUUAAGCAACCAAUUCAGACUUAUAAAACAAGUGUUUAAGUUUAAAUUAACCAACUCGGAAUUACUUUUUUUAUAAUUUUUUCAGUAUGACUAAAAUCCCAUUCACACUACACUCAUGAUAUAUUACUUAUUAUAUUUUACAAGUUUCAACGUCUACGAAGUACCAUUCAUUUACUUAAAUAAAAGGUUAUUAGAAUAUUAAUAAAAAUUCUAACUAAACAUAAUAUUGAGUUAUACAUAAACGCAUCUAAAACAAUCCUAUAAGAAGUAAUAAAAAACUCAAAAGGAACCGACAACAUACUCUAUAUUAAAAAAUUAGAGAAUAGUUCGUUACAUAACCUGCUAAUCAUUUAUGAGAUUAUAAUAGAAUCAACAAAGACACGUAACUUUCCAUGUGGAAGGUACUGUUAGAGAUAAUAAAAAAUAAAAGCAAAAACAGUGAAUGAGAUAGAGAUCGAAGUGGACGAUAUAUUGAUGAGGUGAUGAUGGAUUCAUCUUACAACUCAUUAUUGCUCGCUUUUUAUAGAAGUUUCUAAGUUGAUUAGUUGCUACUUCGAUUUGUUAUUUCUCAUGUUUCUCGUAAUCAUUAAUUGUAAAUGUUGAAGCUCUUAGCCUCACUUACUUUUGUCCAUGUUGGCAUAUUUGAAAAAAAUUUCAAGGGAUUAAACUCAAUUUCAAUUUGUUCAAUAUUUAGUAUAAAUAAUAAUAUUUUUUAAUAAAAAGUGUCACGAACUUUGCUCAAAAUAAUGACCAAAACAACAACUUUUAUUUUUAGAAAGAGAAUCACCAUGCCUAGUUUAUGUCAAAUAAUAGGUAUAGACAAGGUGAUCCAGACAAGCCAGUCUCCAUCAACACUGCAAAAAUUUGUCGAUAAUAACUAUUUUUCGACAGAUUAUCGAUAAAUUGAAAUUUAUUAGUAAAAAUGUUAUCGAUAAGAUUUAUUGACGGAUACCAACCGUUGGUAAUAACAAAAGGAUAUGUCCAUCAAUAAUUUCUGAGGGAUAUACUUCUCAGUAAAUUCUUUGACUCAGUAUGGGACAUUACUAAUGGAUUUAUCUGUUCAUAAAUUUUAUUGAUAAAUAAUGUGACAGUUUCUAGAGCAUUGGAUUAUAUUUCCUUACCAUACAAGCAUCUUGGACAUAAACAUUAAAAAUUCAACAAAACUAAUAAUGCUAACCAGACAAUAAAAAUCCAAACAAACCUUAAUACAAUACCACACAAACAUCACAAACAUGUUUAUAAUGUAAUUCAGAUAAACAUAAAAGUUUUAAAAGUAUGUUUAUAUGUAACAGAGUCCUAAUAAUCUACAUAUCCAUCAUAUAUGUUGAAAUCCUUUCUAGCCACAAGCUUUUUGUCAUGGAAUUUCUUGGUUUCCUCCUUAUAGAACUUGGAGUUUUCAUAGGUUGUGAGCCUAAUCUCCUCUAGUUCUUGUAAUUGAAGUUUUCGUUCUUUCUUUGCUUCCUCCAUUGCAAAGUUACAAGCUUUUAUAUCCUAAUAAGCUCGAUCUUGAAUCUCUACAUGUAAAUGGUGAGCCUCUCCAAAAAUAACCAUGAAAGGUGACAUGCCUUUAUGUGCUUUAUAACUCAUCUUAUGUGCCUAAAGUGCAUCAUCCAAUUGAGCAACCCAACCCUUUCUAUUUGGCUUUACCAACUUUUGCAAUUUCUUUUUGAUUUCUCUGUUAAAGACCUCGACUUGUCAUUUAGUUUGGGAAUGACAUGGUGUAGCAAUGUGAUAUGUCAUCACAUAUUUCUUUAACAUAUUCUCUAACAACUUAUUGCAAAAGUGGGUCUUCUAAUCACUAGCAAGAGCUCGUGGAAUUCCAAACCUACAAAAAAUGUUAGACUUGACAAAACUCAUAACAACCCGAGUAUCAUUAGUCCUUGUAGCUAUAACUUCCACCCACUUGAAAACAUAGUCUACAAUAAGUAAAAUAUAAGAAGACCUAUAAGAAGAAAGAAAAAGCCCCAUAAAGUCAAUACUCAAAUAUCAAAUACCUCACAAUAUAGCAUGGACUAUUGAGGCGCCUCUACCCUUCUUGUGAUAGAGUUGGCUACUCUUUGACAUUGCUCACAAUUUUCGUAUACCUUUUGUGCAUAUUUAAAUAUGGUAGUCCAAUAUAAUGCACAAUCCAACACCUUCCUUUUUGUUCUUUCUGUGUCGUAGUUUCCACUAAAAGGUGAUGUAUGACAAAAUUCAAGCACAUAAGGUAUCUCAAUGUCUGGGACACACCCUUUUAUAACUUGGUCACUACCAAUGAGCCAUAAGAAUGGUUCAUCCAAUACAUAGUACCUUGCAUCACUUUUCAGCUUGGUCCUAUUAGAUUUGGAGAAAGAUGAAGGAAUAGCAAAAACAACCAAAUAGUUAAUAAUGUUGGAAAACCAAGGUUCAAGACACAUACGUUUUACAAUGGUCACAACUAGUAGGACUUCAUGAAAGUCAUCUUGAAUAGUAGUGUCAUCUUCCUUUUCAGUCCUACUAAGAUGAUCAACUACUAGGUUAUGUGCCCUACUUCUGUCUUGAAUCUCAAUGUCAAACUCUUGGAAUAGUAGCAUCCAUCUAAUCAACCUUAGUUUGAAAUAUGCUUUCUUUAAAAGGAACUUUAAUGCAACAUGAUCAGUAUAAACAAUUACAUUAGAACCAAGUAUGUACGAUAUUAAUUUAUGUAAGGAAAUACAACAACUAGUAAUUCCUUCUUGAUUGUGGUAUAAUUAGCUUGUGUAGUUUCGAAUGUAUGGUAAGCAUAAUAUAUUACAUGUGGUAGCUUCCCAUCUCGUUGUGCAAGUAUCGCUUCCAUUGCAAAUUUUCAUGCAUCAGACAUCUCUCGAAUGAUAACGUCUAGUUAGGUCAUUGGAUGAUGGAAGUGGUGGUGAGCACCCUUUUUAGGGUAUCAAAAGCAUCUUUUGCACUUCUCUCCAAAGUCAACAAGUACAUCCUUUUGAAGUAAGUUAGAGAAGGAUUAACUAUCUUAAACCUCCUAUAAAAACUUGCAUGUCUAAGAAAAUAUCGAACGUCUUGUACAUAAGAGGGGUAAGAAAUCUGUGAAAUAAUAUCAAUUUUAGCAGGGUCUACAAAUAUACCAUUCCUAGAAACAACGUGACCCAAAACUAUACCUUAUUCUACUGUAAAAUUAUACUUUUCAAAAUUAAAAACAAGGUUAGUUACCAUAAACAAUUAUCAAAAGAUGAACCAUACAUUAUGAAGUCAUCCAUAAAAACCUCAAUGAAAUAUUCCAACAAAUCUGUAAAAAUACUCAACAUACAUCACUGAAAUGUUCCAACAGCAUUGCAAAGGCCAAAUGGUAUUUAUCGAUAAACAUAUGUAUGGAAAGGACAAGUAAAAGUAGUCUUAUGUUAAUUUUUCGAGACUAUACAAAUUUGAAAAUACCCAGAGAGUCCAUCUAGAAAGCAAUCCUGGCUAUUUCUCUCUUGUGGUUUCUAAUGACCUGGAAAAAUUGUUAUUCUUGCUCAUUAGUAAGUAAUGCAAGUAUAAUAAUAGGGAGUUUAUCAUCUCUCUCAAGAUAAGCAUAUUUAAAAUGAGAUGGUAAAGGUUUUAACCCCAAAUUGGGUGGUGGUACCACAAAUGAUAACAUUUACUAUCUAAGGUAAUCUCAGCCACCUUAGCAUCACACUUGGAUGCUACAUAGGUAUCAUGUAUUGACUUCAUGUCCAUAAGAUCACCUCUUAUGAAAAAAAAAAAUUGCCUUCCAAAGUUGUGUAUGAGAUUUUCGAAAAGGAAAAAUCCAAAGAUGAAGAAAAAGUUGAAAAAACGUCUAAGAAACUAAAAGAAAAUUUGUUUACAACACUUAAUAAAUCAAUGCAUAAUAGAGAAUGGUCUUCUAUCGAGUGCUUCCAAUACGUUAAACUACACCUUCUCAUCUCCUAUCUCCAUAGUCAAUGAUCUCACAUGCAGAUCUAUCUUGAUUCGUGUUGUCAUCCUUCAUAGCCAAGAUGUAGAAAUUUUCAGGAAAAAUUAACUUUUUGGGUUAACUGUAUUAUGGUUGAUUGUAGGGUUAAUUGUGUUAUGGUUGACCAGUUGAAUGACCACACCGAUAGUCUUGAUAAGUCCUAGAGAUAGAGAAGUAAACACUAAUAAAUGCAAAACAUUUAUAGAAGCUCCUAAAUCUAGCAUGGCAUUGUCAAACUUUGAACUUUCAAUAACACAAGAAAAAGAAAACAUACUUGGAUCCUUGCAUUUUUGUGGUAUUUCAAUAUGUUUCUUAAUCAAGCUUAACACAUUUCUUCCUAAGUUUACAACGUCAUUAUCCCUAAUAUGCCCUCUAUUUUUACAAAGUUUUUUAAAAAACUCGGCGUGUUUUGAGAUUUGUUUUACAACAUCUAAUAAAGGGAUGUUGAUCUCCACCUUUUUGAAAGUAUUCAAUAUUUCUUUUUCUAAUUUCUCCAUUUUCUUAUUUAUUGGUUUCAACCGAUUUAGAUAUAGAGAAGGAGGAGAAUAAGAAUUCUCAGAAGAAGAGUUAGAGGAUGCUAACUUGGAGUCAUCGGUGGCCGUCUCAAGUGUAGCUUGUGAUGGUUCACUUGAUCCUCCACUUUUAUCACUGUACGUGUCUUCGUUCUCCUUAUUUGCAUCCUCUUGGGCUUCUUCAGGGCCUUGUAUUUUCUUACUCGUUCUUAAAGUAAUAACACUUACAUUUUGCGGGCAAAUCAUAGGUUGUGCAGACAAUUGAUUUGACUCUUUAGCAAAGUUAGCUUUCAUUUUAUCCAUCCUCUGAUUCACUUCUUCAACCGCUUUCUUCAUUUCUGCAUUUUUCUCAAGCAUCAUCUUUAUAAAAUCUUGUAGCGUCAUAUCUGGUUGAGAUUGCUGCCACAAUUGAGGUGGGACAUAUGGUUGUUUGUGUUGUUAUUUUUGUUGUUAUGAUUGUUGUUACCUAUUUGAGGGAUAAGUCGUAAUUAUUAUGAGAUGGUUUAUUACCACCAAACAUUUUUACAAAAGCUUAAGAUGGUUCCUCCACUGUAGUUUCUUCUAAGUUGGGACAUUCACUAGCAUAAUGGUCGAUUGAAGUGCAAAUUUCACAUACCCUAGCAACUUGUGGAGUUGAAGUCUUAAAGAAACUUGCAAUCUCGUUAAGCUUUCUCUCUAGUCCAUUUAAUCUUUCAUUUAUCUUCUUUCUAUUUACUGCACUCAUGAAUUCCUUUUAAAAAGGUCACUGAAUUCUCUUGUUUCAAAAUGUUGGUUGUUUGAUACCUUUUGUUCUAUAAGCUCUCCAACAUUUUUUGGCAAUUUUUCUAGGAAAGAUCCUCCGCUCGCAGCAUCUGCUCACACCUUGUAUGACGAAUUCAAGCCCUUAUAAAAGUUUUGAAUGAGGGAAUGUUCCUUUAUAUGAUGUUAAGGUUAGGGAACACAAAGUUUGUUGAUUCUCUCCCAAUACUUAGUAAGAGUUUCUCUACCUCUUUCCUUAAUUCCAAGAAUCUCUCUAUGGAUGACAGACUCUUGGGAUGUAGGGAAAUGUUUCUCAAAGAAAAGUCUUUCAGUAGUUUCCUAAUUGGUAAUUCUUUUUGAGAGAUAGUACCACCCAUCUUGAGCUGCUCCUUGAAGACUAAAAGGAAAAGCUCUAAUUUUUAGGUUUUCUAAUGUGAUCCCUUGAGAUCUAAAGUUUUCACAUAGGGUAUGAAACUAUCUCAAGUGUUUAUGUGGAUUCUUCCCUGAUAACUAAUUGAAUUUUGGCAAGGCAUUUUGUAGGCCAGUUCUUAACUCACCCUCAUCAUUUGGAUAUUCAAUGUUAUUGCAUAUGACUGUAUUGUGAGAGGUGGAUAACUAUUUAAUGCUCUUUGAGCCAUUAUGUUUGGGUCAAGAUCAGGUGAAGGAUCAAAGGGUAUAUUUAUAACUGGAGAAGAUGAAGGUGGUAUAGUUUCUGUAAUGGCUUCAGAUGUUGAAGAUGCUUCCUCAGUAGAAAUCCCAAUUUUCAAACUUUUUCUAAUGUUACAUAAGUUCUAUUCAACUUUUGAGUCAAUUUGAUAAACUUCUUCCAGUUUGGUUCGAGUCAUGCACUACGCAAUCCGACUGAAGUUGUUCUUCUAUUCUUGACUUUUUUUCCCCUUUGUUAUUGUUUCAAAGGAAGAUUUCAAAUAAGAAAUAAGUAAGAUGUUGUUAGGUCCACUCCCAAAAAAGAGAGAUGUGUCACAAUAGACAAAUUAAGUACCAUGUCUUUUGUAAUAGAUUAUUCUCCAACUAAUCUCAAGUAUUCCUCAAGAGAAAUUUGUAAUCAAAACAAAAGGGAAGACUUUGCUAGCAAAUUCAAAACUAACUAAAGAUUAAAAAACUUAAACUAAAUUAAAUGUAUUUACAUUAAAAAUGAAAAUAAAAAUAAAAAUAAGAAUUAAAAUAUUAAAAAUACUAACCGUAUUACGUCUAAUUUGAUAUGUUCCCAUUCCCAUUAUCAAAUUACUAUUACUUAAUAUUUAAAUAAAGAUAAUCUUUUUUAUUCUGAAUAAUUAUUUUAGUUUAAAACAAUGCUUCAGUUUAAAAAAAUAUCAAAUUGAAAAGAAAGGUUUUUAAAAAAGUGUAAGAUAAAAUUGGUAAAAUAAUUAUUUUAUUUUCAAAAUAAUUACAUAUUAAUAUAAUUAAAAAAAUUACAUGUAUACACAAUUUCUUUUACAAUAUGGUAUAGAUUAAAAAAAAUUAAAUAUUCAAAUUAUUAAUAUUACUUUACUUUCAUUUGAACAUGUCAUAACUUUAAUUCAAAAUGUCAAAAUUCAUAUCAUUGUAUAAUAUUUAAUACUGUGAUAUAAAUUUAAUAUAAAAUUCGUCAACUGUUUCUUUAUAAAAUAUAUUCGAUUACUUAAUCUGAACAUUUAUACAUAUUUAAAAAAUACAUCAUAUUUGUGCAAUAUUUGUUUCAAGAGUUUUAAAUAUUAAGUGUUCUUUUGUCUUGAUUUUAUGCAUAUUUUUUUAAUUAAUAUUUAAUAGCAGUUUUUUAUUUGCAGGUUUUUUUAUUGGUAUUAUAGAAGGUAAUGGGUGUUAUUUAUUUCUAAUUAUAUAUUUAUGUUAGUCGAGUUAUUAGAGCAAUAUAUAUUUAUGUUCAUACAUUUCAAAUUUUGAGUUAAUCUUAACUUGACAGGAUUGCUUCAUAGAAUAAAUAUCAUCAAACAAUCGUGGAACUGGAAUGUGUUGAGAUUGGGAGUAUUUAUUGGCGAAGAUAUUCUACCAAUAUUUAUAAUAACUAGAUAUUUAUUUGUACUCUUACUUUUUCUAGUGCUAAUCAUCUAUAAAUGGCGAAGAAGACAUUUUUCAAUGUAUGAAAACAUUGAAAAUUUUUUGUUAGAAAACAGUAUAAAUCCCAUUAGAUAUGAGUACCGAGCGGUGAAGAAAAUGACUAAAGGUUUUAAAGUGAAGUUAGGAGAAGGAGGUUUUGGUUCUGUGUACAAAGGAAAGCUUCGAAGUGGGUUAGAUGUUGCAGUAAAGAUGUUGAGCAAAUCUAAGGAUAAUGGUCAAGAAUUUGUUAAUGAAGUAGCUACCAUUGGAAGAAUACACCAUGUGAAUGUGGUAGGUCUUAUUGGAUAUUGUGUUGAGGGAAAAAAGCGUGGCUUAAUUUAUGAAUACAUGUCUAAUGGGUCAUUGGAUAAAUACAUUUUCUCUAAAGAAGGAAGUGUUCUUUUGAGUUAUGAGAAGAUAUAUGAAAUAUCUCUUGGAAUUGCUCAUGGAAUAGCAUAUCUACAUCAAGGCUGUGAUGUGCAGAUUUUACAUUUCGACAUCAAGCCUCAUAAUAUUCUGUUAGAUGAUAACUUUACUCCAAAGGUUUCAGAUUUUGGACUUGCAAAAUUGUAUCCUACAAAAGACAAAUCCAUUAUUUUGACUGCAAUAAGAGGAACAUUGGGUUAUAUGGCUCCAGAAUUAUUCUACAAAAAUGUAGGUGGAGUUUCUUAUAAAGCUGAUGUCUAUAGUUUUGGAAUGCUUUUGAUGGAAAUGGCAAGUAGGAGGAAAAACUCAAAUCCUUUAGCAGAACAUUCAAGCCAACAUUAUUUUCCAUUUUGGAUUCAUGAUCAAUUUAAAGAAGAGAAAGAUAUUGACAUGAAAGAUGCUUCAGAAAUGGAUAAGAUUCUAAUGAAAAAAAUGUUCAUAGUGGCACUUUGGUGUAUACAAUUUAAACCAAAUGAUCGUCCAUCAAUGAAUAAGGUUGUAGAGAUGCUUGAAGGAAAAGUUGAAACUCUUGAAAUUCCUCCAAAACCUACAUUUUAUCUUCAAGAAAUAUUAGAACAUGAUGAUACAGUCUACUCUGAUGAAACACCAAGGAGUGAUUCAACUAGUUCUGUGAAUGUUGAUGCAAACAUGUCUAAUCACUAAUAUUUUGGAAUAACAUUAAUUAUUACAAUGGAUAAGUUUGUAUUUUAAAAUUGAGGCUCGUGGAUUAUAUAUUGUUGGUUUAAAAUUAUGUUCAUGCUCUUUUAUGAUUUUAUAAUGUGUCUAUGUGAUAUGCUAUAUUUUUAGUUUUAAUUUAAACUCUUAUCUUUAAAUAUUAAAUUGUCUUUUAAAAAUCAAGAAUAGUUUUCUGCAUAAUUUAGAAUUAAUUUUGCUAAUAACUUAAAUAUAUUAGUCAUUAAAAAUUAUCAUAAAACAAUUCACUUAUUUAUUACAUCUAAAAGAUUAAUAUACAUUAUUUGGGGAUAAGGGUAAUGUGGAUAUGGAUGGGGCAAUAUGUAAGGGAAAGGGGGAAAAACAUGAGGUGAGAUGCAAAGCGAAAAGGUGGUGUGGCGUGCUAUGCCACGAGGUAGGGAAAAAGAAGAUGAGAUUCUUGAGAUAUGGUGAUAAAUGCUAGAACCAAGUAGACAAUGACUAGUCCUUCAAAAGUUUAAGCUUCCAUUAUAAAUAAAAAAAACCAUGACAGUAAAAAAAAAAUUAAGUCUAUGAUAUCAAUUUCAAUAGCAACUUGUUAUAAACUUUGUCAGAUUUAAAAUAAUUAUUUAAUUUUGAAAAUAUAUGAUAGUGGUUCUUUCCAAGAAACUAGGCAAAUAGGUUGCUAUUGUUAUUUCUUUUGAAAUGAAUAUUUUGGAAAAACUAGCCGACACUAAAUUUUAUUUUUAAUCAUUUCGAACAUCUUAUUUUUACAGGAAUUUUUCAAUUAGGUUCUUGUAUUAUAAAAUCUUUCAAUUAGGUUUCUAAAUAUGAAAAAUUACAUCAAUUUAAACUUUGCUGUUAAUUUGAAUGAACGACAUACAUCAAUUUAUCAAAUUUUAUUGACGUGGCAUAAAGUAUUGUAUAAAAUUUAAUUAUAAAAAUUGUAUUAUAUUAAAUUUAAUUAUAAAAAUUGGAAUAAAGUAUUGUCUUGUUCUUUGUUGGGCGUCCUCUUCUGAUAAGGUUUUGACAAGGGACAAAAUGGUGACGUUUGAGGUGGAGUAAGGGGCGAGGGAGCAGAUCGAGACCGGAUCGGGGGUUGCGUGUGAGGUUCAUAGAGCCGAAGUUGUCGGUGGCGUGUCCAGUUGUUUGGAGGAGCAUGAUGACGAGUUUCCCUGAUUGGUUGGAUUUUCAACGAUGAGUCUGAACCAUUCUACCGGCAAGGAUGAUCAUGGAAUCCACGCAGAUUUUGAUUACUCGACGCCAAUGGUCGCUAUCUCUUUUAUUCAAUUAAAUUUCUUUUAUAUCUAUCAUGUGACUGAAACCCCUAAUUUUGCAUCAAAUAUAACAUUUUUGUUUGUUUUGGUGAAAUCUCAGGCGUGGAGGACGAUGAGUGCGAUGACAAGGAGUGGCGGUACUUCGAAGAUACUGUGCCUUUCAAUGACGACGGUGUUUUGGAUACCGAGGUAGUGGUACUUGUUGAGGAAACUCAGUUAUUUGAUGGCGAUGACGACAUUUUGGAAACGAAGUGAUGAACCUCGCUAGUGAAACUCAGGCGUUGGGGUGAUGGUGAGACACAGUUGCUGGACGAAGUGUGUGAAUUUGAUAGAACACAAGUUUUGGAGAAUGCUGAUGAUGAUGAGCUUUUUGUUGAUAGUGACAAUGGUGAAGUAGAUAACAGAAAGGGUAAAUCGUGGCAGCGAAACCGUUCUAGUGAGUGAGUGAGUCAAUUCCAAUUUUCCUUCUAAUUUUUUCCUUGGGUAAGUUGUUUGGGAGCUGCUUGAUAGCCCUUGCUCUGUUUUGAUUUAAUGUGCAGAAAGAAAGCGGGUCCAUGGCAGGAAGUUGUGAAAUAAUAUGUUUUGUUUACUGUUUUGUAAGAGAACACGAUUGGGUCUCUCUCUUUUUAGAGAUUAAAGACACAAGCUCUUCAUCAUCGUUGAUUUCACACUCACCGCCGUUCCCAUCCAAAUCUUCAUUGUAGGUGUCAUGCUCUUCGUAGUUGAAGUCCUCGGCAAGUGAAUGAGCAUCACAUGCCCCCACUUUUCUUUCAUUUAAAAAUUACAAACCUCUCCUGAUUAAUAUCGUGAGUGUGCGGAAUUAGUUGUUUGGUCAGCAUGCCACGUCAGUAAAAUUUGAUAAUGUUACCUUAUUACGCACAACAUUUUUUAACGUCGUCCACCCAAUUACGGACCUAAUCGAGAGAUUUUACAAUACGAGGACCUAAUUGAGAAAUUUUUGCAAAAAUAAAGAUAUUCGAAAUGAUUAAACUAUAAAAAAAAAACCAUGACAGUAAAAAAAAUAAUUUUAGGUCAUGAUAUCAUUUCAAUAGCAAGUGUUAUAAACUUUGUCAGAUUUUAAAUAAUUAUUUAAUUUUGAAAAUAUAUGACAGUGGUUCUCUCCAAGAAACUAGGCAAAUAGCCUAUUUUUUUUCUUUGGACUGACUGUGCGGGAAAGUGAAUAUUUUGGAAAAACUAGCCGACACUAAAUUUUAUUUUUAAUUUUAAAUAAUUAUUUAUUUUUAAGUAAAAUUAGUAGUUAUUUUUUUUCAUUUACAUAUAGAUUUAAUUUCAUUAUUUAUGAAUCAUGUCCUUCACAAAUUUUUCUGCUCUAACACCAAACUUAGAUAAGAAAGAAAUUUUUUUUCCUGUUACAUAUGAAAAACUCCAUAUAUAACUUACCUAUUCAAAUUCGUAUACAAAAUCUAUAUAUAAUACUUCAAUUAUCUAUAAAUUCAAAUUCAUAUAUAAAUAUCAAUAACACUAGUGCAAAAAUUGCUUAUAACGUCACACGGUCAAUGUCGAAACACCCAAUAUCCAAUGUUAAAAAUGACCGGUGGCAUUGCCGUAAAUAAAUUCAAUCGCUCCACGUCCUUUAUUGUAACAGUUCGCCGUCUAAUAUUUAUCAAAGUCAAACAAAGCCCACUUAGACGUAAUCUAUAAUAUGAUAACGUCAAACAAGGGCUAGAACGACGUAAAACAAUGACCUUAUAAUCACUUAACAUCAGAUUAAGAAACAUCUAACAUUCAAUUUAAAAUAAAAAAUAACGAAAUAGUGGUUUGCUUCCAGUAGUAUUACUCCUACCCAUAUUUGACAUCAACCGUACUAAAUAUUCAACGUUUUAUAUGCCAAAGAGUGAAUCCAUUUUUUAUUCUUUAUUUCUUUUCUUUUUUAAACCAAACAGAACGUCACCCAUUUUAUUGUUAGAUGUUUAUGCCAAUAUAGAACAUCGCAUAAUUUGGGGUUAGACGUGAUGGUCGUUGGCGUGCGAAACCUUAGUAAUCACAUAACUUCAGUUAAGGAAACAACUGACGUCCAAUACAAAAUAAAUAAAUAAAUACUAAAUUUUGAUGCAAAUAAUAUGACGUCAAAGAUAACAAAAGAUGGACGUUGUAUAUUACAGCUAGUAGUUAUUCUUUUAUUUUAUUUCUUAAAUCAACCAAUAAAACACCAGUUUUAAACUAGCAUCGACAUUUUAUUAUUUAGUUCCUUUUUUAUUAUUUUUUUCAUUUUCUUUUAUACCAACCACAACGUCCAAUUCUUUUACUAAUUCGACAUUUUUUUUCUAGAAAUUAUGUUUUUAUUUUUUCUUUUAAACCAACCGGUAAAACAUCCUUGUACUUGUGGCUUUAACGUUUUGAAAGGCUCCCAACAUGUUCGAAUUCUGUGUUAACUUUUUCUUUUUUUUCUAUCAAAUCGUUCUAGGUGACAAAAACGACUCAUUUCUUGUGGUUUGAUUCUUUGUUAUGUUGAAAAGCUUGAAGGAGUGAUUGACAGAAACAAAGAAGAGGUUAAUACAUUUGGAUUUGACAUCCUUUCAAAACUUUGCAACUUCCAUUCAUUUAAUUUCUCGUAACAAUCUGUUAGCUUUUUUCUUUGUUUUUCUAUCAACUCUUUCAAAAUCACAAAAGUUAUUCGAACACGUAAUGUUUAAAUAUAAUGUCGAACUGUUUUAUCAAUUUGAUGUUUUUUUGCCAGAAUUUUGUUUUUGUUUUAAACCAACAAAUAUAACAACAAAAAAAGAAGAACACAUAAUAAAACAAAACAAAACAAGGACAUCACAACUUAGUACUAUGACUUUAAGACCCUAUUCUUAUUCAGACGUCUUCCUAGAAUCUUCUUCAAUAGACUCUUCAUCAGAAUCCUCUAUUUCUGGAUUGUUAUUAAUCUCCUUCUGAUAGAGCACAUAUAAUGGGAAGAAGAAUUUAAACAACAGAAAUUUGGAAGAAAAAUAUUAAGAAGAUAAGUGUUUUUUCAAAAUCUGUAGAACCCCUGGAGGGGCAGAACUGCUUUUAUAACUUGAAGUUUCUUGAUUAUAUGAUUCAAUUUUUAAGUUUCAUGAAGUUGUUUUCUACAAAAUUAGUGGAUCUGAUUCGGAGAAAACAACUUAAUGAAACAUUAAAAAAUGUGUCAUUCAAUAACGAUCAAACUGUGUAAUUGUAUAGAGUUAAGAAUUAUAUUUAUAGAGUAAAUUCAAAACCUCUGGUAACAACACAAAAUUAAUGCUCACUACCAUUCCAAUGCCUUUCACGUCAAAGCCCCCUAGAAUUUGACGUUCUAUGGGAAUUUAAAAAGUAAAAAGUAAAAAAAAGAGCGACCAAUAUGUCAGAUGCUCAUGACAUUCAACGUUUAUUGUUGGAUUAUAAGAAAAAAGAAUUAAACCAAAAAAACACUUUGGAAGUCUGGAGAAAUUGACGUCAACCUCUUCGUUUCUCGCAGCAAACUGCAUUUCCGCAUAUAUCAUUUAAGUAGAAUGCCUUUUAUUAUUGAAUCCCAUAUGAGGCCCAUAUCAGGCCUUUCCCAACAGUAAUUAUUUAAGUGUAGACAUCCAUUUAUAAAAUUUCUUGUAACAACUCCAAGGUUUCUUUGUGUUAACUUUUUUCUUUGUGUUACUGUAGCUCCUUCUAGGUCACAAAACGGAGUCAUUUCUUUGUGGUUUGAUUCUGUCAUGAUGAAAAGUUUGAAAGAAUGUUAGUAACACAAAGAAAAAGGUUGAUACAUUUGGAUUUCGACCCUUUCAAAACGCUACAUCUUCCAUUCAUAAAAUUUCUCCUAUGAACUUCAUCUGUUAUUUUUUUUUCUUUUGUUUUCUGUUAUCUCCUUCAAGGACAUAAAAAAGCUGGAGUACAGAAAACAAACGAAAAAGGUUGAUAGAUUUGGAUUUCAAAUUUAGGACGUCGUAUAUUUUAAUAUUCGACGUGUUAUUGUAGGUUAAAAGGGAAAAAGAAAAUAAGAUAAGAAGAAAAAAUGGAGUGAUUUGGCUUCUGGAUGAACAAUAAAACGCAUGCCCCUAGUAUUUUGACGUAAUAUUAAUACAAUAGUUAUUAAUAACACAUCGAGUGGCUUUAUGACGUAUUAUAUUUGUUUUGAAAAAGAAGGAGCUUUGGUGUAUAGAGCAAUAACUGUUAUCCCAUAUUGAGUAUACUGAUGCAAUGUAAUCAUGUAACAUUAAAAUGGACAUUUGCAAUCAUAAAAGUGAUUUUAUCAUAUUUAAUCAAAUAUAAAAUUCAAUCACCAUUCACUAAUGUUUGCCAAAAGAGAAUUUCAUUAAUAUUCAAAAGAUGAUUACAACCAUCAAUACAAAAAGAUAGCUUAAGAAGCCACUGAUUAAAAAAUUAAAAUCAAACGACGAAUAUUCCUAUUCUUCUAUUGCACAAUUAUUGAUUAUCCCUUCUGGUUGUUCACAUCACCUUUCUUUCCACUUUGAUCGGUGAUUUUUAAAUCCUUAGAGUCUUUUGUCAAUGACUGUGCCAACUUUCAAUUUACAGAAGCCCCAAGAAUCUUGUAUGCGACACUGAUUACAAAAUUAAAAUCAAACACGAAAAUCCAUAUUCUUCUGUUGCAGUCAUCUUUCAAUAUACUUGAGCCGAAAGAACCUUUUUAGCGAUUCUGACAUACAAUUUAUUUUCACCGCAUACCAUUUAGCCCACUCAUCUUCUUCAAUUUUUGUCAAAUCUAUUUUGUUUGCACUCCAAGAUUCAGAGAUGAGAUAGACUUGCUGAUGACCAAUCCGUUUUUCAAAGAGAAAUCCUUCUUUCCCGAUCGGUUGAAAAACGGAAAUCCCAAUCCAAAACUUUAUAUCAACCCCCUUGAUUGUGGAACAAAAUGUUUCAUCGCUCAUCUUUAUGUUGGAGUAGAACACCCUCACCAGUUUCAAAUAUCUAUGAGAAACCACAGUUGUAAUCUGUUGAGAUUGUUGACAACAUAAUUUCUAUAUCAAUCUAGUUUUUUAUGAUGACAACACAUUGCGUAAUAACAUGCAUAUGUUGUUUGUUGUUAUUACAUGUUCUUAUGCAUAUUAAUUGUUAUAUAUGUUGAACAUGUUUGUGUACUGUGUUACAUGUUCCCAUGUUGAUUGGUUGAUAUAUAUCUGGAACGUGUUUAUAUGCUUUAUGUGUUAUCUGCUUUGCAUCAUUUAAUAUGUUUUACUACACAUAUUUUAAAGCUGAAAAACACAAGCACUUUUAUGAACUUUUAACUGUGUGACAAAGUUCUAGUACAGUCGAUAAAGUCUUUGUGCAGAUUUUGAGGAUCAGUGCUAUGUGUAUUUUUGAGAAGAAAAGAAUUUCAAAAUGUUUUACAUGGUUGAUGUCGACUAUGUGUUUUACAUAUUCAACUAUAUCUGUUGUCUGAUUUGGAAUUCUGUUAUGCUCUUGCACUUUAACGACUAUAUUUUUAAAAGUUAGUUGAGCAUUGAUGACUUGGUCAACUGUAUUGAAUUUGUUAUGUUUUUUGUUGACCGUGAGCUACUAUGUUGACUGAACUAUUAUAAUUGGUAUAAUAUAGUCAACUGAAUUAGUAGAACAUUCAACUGAGAAUCUGAUUGUAUAACAGAAAUAUAUAAAUAGACUGAACACAGGUUUGUUCAACGACUUUCGCUGAACUGACAAAUUUCAUUUCUGUUUCAGAUCUCUCAUAGCUCCAAGAAUUCUCCAAGAAGACAGUGGUGAUCUUUCUUGAACGAGAUUCAUUGAGGAGACAUUGUGCGCUUACACUUGUUGAUCAUUACGUGCACAAGAAAGGUGCUUCUGUUUGAUCGUGUUGAAGGCUGGGCAUCCUGUGAAGACUGUUGAAUUGUGAUCAAGGCUUGGCAUCCUAUGAAGACUAUUGGAAUUGUACCUGUUGUGAUACAGGGGGAUAAUGCACUUUGAGGAUUGUUCAAAGUGGUGUUGCAGAUUGUAGAAGAGGGGAUUCUUGCUGCAAUUCUUACAUUCUAGUCGACUCUAUUUUUAAUGCAGUCUACUACUUUUUUCCACUGCAUACAUUUUCUUAUUACUUGCAUUUCAAGAAAGUUUAAAAAGCUUUAUUCUUUGUUUUCAAGAUUGCGAAAAGAACAUAUUUUGAAAAAUCACCAAUUCAUCCCCCUCUUGGUGUAUAAAGAAGCCUACCUGUUUUUCAACAUAAUCUUCCUUACACUAAAAAGCUUCCCUCGAAUGUCUUCACCAUUAAUCCUCCCUGUAGGAUUAGCAUUCCUUGCAAUCCGAGCAACCUUCCCUUUUUUUUCUGGAUGAUGAAGAAGAAGGCAUUUCUGAUCAGAUUUUGGAACGUCUUUACAAGUUCUAGGGUUUGUUAUAGCUCUUCAGUCUAGAGAACAUUGAGUGCACAAUAGGUUGUCAAACCUAUUAUUUAUAUAGUUACACAUCAAAUCUUUUCAUUUUCAACGUCAAACAUCUUAAGGGAUGGACGCUUUACUAUGCAAUUCAACAAUUAUUGGAGUUAGCCUUUAAUCAAUGUUUCAUCAACGUUCAACUUUUGGCUCUCUGGCUUACAAUAAUACGUCGGAAAUAUCAAGCAACCGACGUACUAAAGGUGGUUUUUAAAUUGAAACGUCCAAGAAUUACAACUCUUCAUUUAUUGUUGAAUUAAAAAGGGAGUAACUCUUCAUUUAUUGUUGGAUUAAAAAUAAUAGGAAUUAAAAAGGGAGAAACUCUUUGGCUUUUGGUUGACAUAUAAUACGUCAAUCCCCACGUAAUCUUGGUGUUUUAAAAGAAAAAAGAAAAAGGAAUUAAAAAGGGAGAAACUCUUUGUCUUCUAGCUGAAAAAUAAUACGUCAAUCCCCAAAGAAUUCGAUGUAAUCUUGGUGGUUUAAAAGAAAAAAGAAAAAAGAAUUAAAAAGGGAGUAACUCUUUGGCUUCUGGCUCACAAUAAUAUGUCCAUGGCUCCAGAAAUGGAUGUACUAUUUGUGUUUUAAAAGAAAAAAAAAAAGAAUAUAAGAAUGGCAUGCUGGUUUAAAUAUUUACCGUCGAUGAAUGUCGAAUUUUAUGGGGCUUCGACAUUUUGAUUUAAACUUCCAAGUAUUUCAACUAUAGAACGUGAAGUUGUAAUGGUAUAGGACGUGUUAUUCUGAAGUUAUAUUGAAACUAAAUAUAUUUCUGACCUUAUAUUGAAACAGUAACCUUUCCCUAAACCUUUAAAUCCUAUUCUUAAAUGGCUUAUUCAUCUUCACGUUGUGGAAAGAAGGCUGCACAGGUUGUAAGAAAUGCUAGUCCAAAUGGGUGGAUAAGUGAUGACGAAACACGAUACAAAUUUGGAUGUUAUAGAAACUCUUCCAGGUGGUCCAUCACAAGAACUUGGAUCUGGAAUUAUUCAGAAAGCAAGGGUUUCUUUUUUAAGAUUUACUUGUAGAUGUUGGUCUUGCAAAAUUUGUAGAAAUGACCGGUGAUUGCUAUCGUGACUUGGUAGAAGUCUUCUACCAAAAUCUGAAGGUUGUCGAUGGUGUUAUAUGCUCGUGUCGAUAUUAAAAUUGGUGAUGAAAUAUGGUUAUCUUUUACUGGUCUCAAAGCACAAGGCUUUAGGUCUCAUGAAAGAAAUUUUGAACUCAACCAAUGGACCAACAAGAAGAAGAUUCAUAAGGAAGUUCUGAGAAAUCCAAAAGGGCUAAAGGUAUACAAGCCGUAUCUACUUGUUGAUUUGAAAAUGGAAGAAAAAUUGUGUGCUUUUUUACUUACUUGGGUAAUACUUCCUAGAAGAGGCAUACGUGAUCAUCUAACUACUGAAGAUUUAUUUUUGGUUCAUGCCAUAAAAACACGGAUACCAACCAACUAGGUUAUUGUUUUGAGUGAGCACAUGAUUGAAAUUGCAAGUAGGAAUGGACAUAAUCUGCCAUAUGGUGUUUUUAUCAACAGUGUAUUAAGCAUCAUCAAGUUGAUCUUACUGGUGAAAAAAAAAAAAUUGGAUGGACCAAAUCAAAUGAAAUAGGAAAAGCGGCAUUGACCUUUAAUAGUCUAAAGUAAACAAAAGAUGGUUGGGUGUUCAAGGAUGUUGACGAAACUCCUCCUACCUUCACUCCACAUACUGAGUUUGAAAGAUUUGUUAGGGAUCAAUUUCGAAGGCUUUUAACAAGAUCUUCAAAUGUUGAAAAUUCUUUAAUCAUGAUUCACAAAAAAUUACAUGAAGACAGUUUAAUUGAAACCACAACAAGUGAAUCUGAUGAUGAAGACGACACAACAGAAGAUGAGUCCAUGGAGACCUCUGACUCAGAUUAGGAAGAAAAGUCCAUUUUACUUUAUUUUUCUUAAAUUAAUGUAAUAUUUUAAUAUAUUUUAGUAUUUUUUUUCAAUGUUUGAACUAUGUUUGAAAUUUUAGUAUAUACUUUCCGUGGUUAUAUUUUCAUAUUUUUCCUAUAUUUGGAGUUAUUAUGCUUUUCUUAUGUUUUUGUUUGGUUUAAACCCUCAUUGGUAUAUUUGGUGUUAAUAUGCUUUUCUUAUGUUUUUGUUUAGUUUAAACCCUCGUUGGUCCUCAAUUGUUUUCUAAUGUUAACAUGAGCUGACCUGUAAUUUGUUUUUACUUAAAGUGGCAUUGUGCAUUAAAUUCAAUGUGAUCCAAAUUGUUUUAUGUUCGUGUUCGUCUUGGGGAAGAAGGGGUUCUCGAAGCACUGUGCAACUGAGGAAAUGUCUUAUUCAUCUUCGUCUUGCAAGUGUUUUUGGUUCGGACAUCCAACACAGUAGUGCCAAUGUUAGGAGAUUGGCUGUAAAACACACUUUCUUCUGUGGUCACAUUGCAUCUUUUCGCAUUGCGAGAACCCCUAAAAACAAGGGCAAAAAAUUCUAGGGUUGCCUAACUUCAAGGUCAGUUUAAUAUAAGUAUAAAUGUUUGUUUAUUUUUGUGGGUUUUGAUGAGGGGGUGUACAUAUUGUCGUUGGCUACAACUUCUUUCACUGGUGCAGUGAAGAAGCAAUAGAAGAAGGAAAUGUGUUGUAUGUAGAAGAAAGGAGUAGAAGUGGAAGAAAUGAACAAGUAGGUGGAAGUUUGAUGAUGAUGAAACAAAGUGUGAUGAAGAUGGAUGAAGUUGUGAUGAAAAGAUGAAAAUAGCUUGUUUAGAGAAAAGUGUUGUCAUGUUCGAAAAGUGGUUGAAGGUGUUACUGGGGAUGGUCUUUGUUAUAUGUGUUUUCAAUGUAAUUGUAAUAUGUAUGUUGAUGAAACUUGGUUGACCUCUCCAUACAAGUUGUUGUAUUGUAAUUUGGUAAUGUUAAAAUGUGUUUUAUUUAUAAAGCUGAGGGAUUAAUGUUUAAAACUUUGUCAUUUGAUUUCUUUACUUGAAAUGAAAGUUUCUUUGAAAUCCUUGAAUUUUUUUACAUCGAACUCUACAAAUAAAUGACGUUUUAAAAGGGGUGAAAACCAAAGAAAUAAAUGUUAACUUUUUACUUUGGUUUUCACCCUAAGAAAUCAGAUAGCUUUGAAAUCUAACGGUAGAAAAGAACUCCAAAACAAUUUAAAAAGAGAAUCAUACAUUGCCAAAUGAUGAAGUUAAACAACUUAUUUUAUAAAUUAAAUUUAGUUCUCAAAAUUAUUUCAACAUUAAACAUAUUGUGAAUCAUAUUUCUUUUUCCUCGACACUUCUCUUCCAUUAAGAUAACAAAUCCAUUUUUGUACUAUUAAAAGCAUUUUGUUGACUUCAAUUUCAAAGGCCACCUUCAUAUGAACUUAGGCUUGAAUGCAACACUUUGUAAUUGAAGUCAACAAAUUGCAAUUUAAGGAACAAACAUUUUUCGAAAUCUAGAGAAAGAAAAACGCUUAGGAGAUAAAAAACAUGAAUCCUAAAAUGUUCAAUACGUAAAUAGGACGAAUGGAAUAAUAAGAAAAGCACAUGUAUAUUUAUAGAUGAAAAGAUGUCGUCACACUUCCACAGAAUCGUCGUGCAAUAUCAUUUCAUCAUGAAAAAAGCAGUACAUCGAGUAAUUAUACUAUUAAUUUUCACACUCCACCAUCUAGUAUGAACUUUGAAUAUUACCAAAGUUCAACGUUCAAACAUCAUUCAGAGACAAAGUUGAAAAUCUCUUUGGAUACUGAUAUGACCUCUUUGCAACUGAUAUGACCUCCUUGCAGACAACAUAUACAUCGAAGAUCUAUGAGCCUUGAUGUUAAAGUGAGAGUUUAAAAGAAAAAAAGUAAAAUAUAAAAAAAUUGGAGCGACCUUUUGGUAUCUUGAUGAAGUUGAAAUGUCGAAGUCCAAUAUAAUUUGACAUAAUAUUGGUGCUUUGGUAAAGGCACACAAUUAUUUUUCACAGUCCACAUCUAGUAUGAACGUCAAAUAUUUUCCAAAUUCGCGUUCCAACAUCAUUCAGAGGAAAAGUAUAAAAUGUCUUUGGAUACUGAUAUGACCUUCUUGAUACUGAUGUGACCUCUUUGCUGACGAAAAAUACGUCGAAGAACUAGGAGUCUUGACGUUAAAGUGAGGUUUUAAAAGAAAAAAAUAAAAAUAAAAAGAAAUUUGAGCGACCUUUGGCUUCUUGAUGAAGAAGAAAACGUCUUAGACACGUAGAAUUCGACGUAAUAUUGGUGUUCUGCUAAAAGAACACAAUUAAUGGUGCAAACCACUCAUGCUCGUCACGUUAACACUGCCAAAUGCUUUAACAUUCUAUUACAAAUAUAUCUUCAAAUCGUCGCUUGGAUUGGACGUUUAAUAUUGGAUUAAAAGAAAAAUGAAAUAAAAGGGAGUAAUCGAAGAAAUAGGUUACAAAUUUGGAUUUCAUUUCAAGUUGUACCCUUUGAAAACUACCCUACAUAACUUUUGUAAUCAAAUUCAUGUUAACUUUUUUGAUUUGUUUUAGUUCUUUCCCUUCACUAAACGAAGACAUUCCUUUGUUGUCCAUGAAGGCAAAGGGAUAAAACAAAGGAAAAUGUUAACACUUAUGAAUUUUAAGUAGAUCCUUUGAAAACCUACCUUACAUAACUUCGGUAAUCAAAUUCAUGUUAACUUUUUUCAUUUGUUUUAGAAAUUCAUCAACUGUUAGUGUAGAGGCAAUGAUAUUUCUAGCUUUGAUAUCAUAUUGUGUUUUCCUGUUCUCUUCUUGAGACCACUCAGAAAAAUUUUGCGAAACAGUUUUUCCAUCAAUAAUAUGAGUUGGCUCGAAAGGACCAUUCAAAGUUGCAUCCCAAAUUCCUUUGUCCAUGGAUUCGAGAAAGAUUUGCAUUAUAAUUUUCCAAAAAGGAUAAUUUUCACCCGCAAACAGUGGUGGUCUGUUUGUAGAUGCACCUUCAUCAAAGGUUUGAAAACUGGAAGUCAUUAUCCAGGAACAUAGUCGAUUCAAAGAAAAUAGAAGUCGACUAGUUUUUCAAAUAUCUUAUGAAAAUCAACUCUGGUGCCAAUUGUCGGAAAUAGAAUGACUUAGUUUCAACACCAAGAGGGGGGUGAAUUGGUGAGAUUUAAAGAUCAGAGUCUUUUCAAAAUCUUUUUUGCAAAAGUUUCUUGAUUCGCAAGGAAUGAAAAGUUUAAGUGCAGCGGAAAUGUAAAGUUGACAACAUAAAAAUUAAGUAUACUUAAUGUAAAAGUGAAGGGAUAGAGAAAGCAAACACAGAGUUUUUAUACUGGUCCGACCUCAAUGCCUACAUCCAGUGUCCUUCCACAACUAGGAAGCAAAUGCACUAUAAUGGUCAAGGUUUUCAUAGAGACCUCUACUUCAAAAAUAUAAUACACUUCUUUAACCCUCUAACCAAAAUAUAGGUAGCAACACAAAGAUCUGCAGCAAGAUAUCCCCUCUCCUGCAAUCUUCAACCCACUUUGAACAACCCUCAAAGUGUUAGAACUCCACGAGUCCACCUCCUAUAAUCCCAACAGGAUAACAACAAUCUUUCCAAAGAUUGAUAGAAAACUUGAUCAGUAUGAUGACACCAAAUGUGCAAAACUUGAUCAAUCAGUACGCGCAAUUCACUUCCUCCUUGAGACACUCUUCCAAGAAAGAUCUCCACUGUCUUCUUAAUGAGUUCUUGGAGCAUUCAAUCAUAGGAUCUCAAUCUGAAACAGAAAAUGAAAAUGUUAGUUCAACCAAAGUCCCUGUGAUCAACAAAAGAAUGUCUAUUUAUAGUUUUCUAUAAAUCAAACACUCUGUAGUCGAUUGUGCCACUAAUGAAGUCGAUUGUCAUCAGACAGUUAUAACAGUUAAGUCAAUUUGCAGCAGUCAUAACAACCAAAUUGAUUUCGCAUUGAAUACAGUUGACUUUAAUUUAAUGCUUUAACAGAAAAUUGGAAUAUAGCUGUUACAAUACAAAAGCAUUAACAAAAUUUGAAAACAAAUAACUAACUAAGUCGGAUCCACUAUGCAUAUAGUCGACGUAGACACUUCAAAACAGUUUUGAAAAUAUUUUCAAUGCAAAAUCACUACAGCACUGCUUUUGAAAAUGUGUGCAAAGUCAUGAGUUUUAAUCGAGUUACUUCAUAAUGAAGUCAACUUAAAACUUACAGUUUUGCCACACAAUAUAAGUUCAUCAAAGUGCAUGUGGUUUUCUUUUCAUAAACAUAUGUAAUGCAAUCACAAGUUAUGUAUCAAGUAUAAGAUCAAUGAAUAUGAAUACAUAUAUGAGAAACAACACAAACAUGUUCAUUAAGACAUUAUCCACAAUCAAAAGUAGAACAUGUAACACAUCACAAUACAUGUGUUAUUAAUAAUCUGUUGUCAUCAUAAAAAACCAGAGCAUGUGAGAUUAAGGUUUAGCUAAAUUAGUGCUUCCUUUAUCAACAAUCUCAACAGGAAUAAUUCUCUAGAUGUUUUGUUUCUCCUUCUCCUUCUAGUUCCGCUCAAUUCUUCAAGAAGAGGUUCUAAAUUUUUCUUACUCCUAGUACGAAAUGUAUCUUGCAUGCACAAGAAAACAAAACCCUAGAAAGCACUUUUUAGAACAAACAAAAACAAAAAUAGAAAAAAUCAAGUCAAAGUUAAUUAAUAAUCACACGAAUAGAAUAGUUAAAGCACGAGUCCCGAACAAUGGCGCCAAAAACUUUUUAAGACUCUGGCAAGUGUACCGAAUUAUAUCAAGUAAUACAAAUGGUAAGACCAAGUAUCGUUGUCCCUAGAGACUCAUUGGCCUAGAAAGUCUUGUGAUUUGUUGAUUAUUUAAGACUUGAGAACGAAAAUCAUUAUUUAUAAUGCAGAAAGUAAAUAUGCAUGUGAAUGUUGAUCAAUUGACCAAAAGAAUACGCAUGUGAAUGAUGUAUGGAUUAAUUAUGUUGUUGGGCUUUCCAACUUAUCCUAUCCACUCUCAUGUAUUUACGAAUUCCACUCCUUCAUUAAUGUUAAUGCCACUUUCUAAUUUUCCUGAAACCCAAUGUAUCAGUGAAGAAAGCCUACUCCUAAUUACUAGUUCAUAAUGUCUUGUAUCCCUAACAACUAAUCAUGCAUUACAUUCGCACAUAAGCUUAAAGGCAAUCGGUCCUCCUAUCCCUAUGUCUAGGUAAUAUUGCUCCCGAGAGAAUUUCCCCAUGUCUAGAUUUCCCCGUAUGUGUCCAUAUCAACAAAAUCAAAGAUCAUGCAAUUGAAUGAGUUAAACAAAGCAUGCAUAGAGCAAAGAGGAAAAACCCUAAAAAUUAAUGAAGUAAAGCAUAUAUAAUAAAGAUCAAUUCAAUACAUAAGUGUUUCAAAGGAUUACAUCGUUUCCCCAACAACAAUGGAGGUUUAGUUCACCAUAGACAUGGUGAAACUAGAUGAAAAUAAUGAAAAGAAUGAAAGAUAGAACCCUAAAAGUUAUAGAUCGGAGCUUCCGCAUCCAAAAUCCACCUUCGAAGGGUGAAAAGAGUGUUUCUGCGCCUCUUUCUAUCAAAAGAUAGACCCUCUAGGUUGACUAAAUCCUUAUAUAGCUUCUAAAAAUAACAAAAACCUGGCACAGGCUUAUGCUGACAGCGCUAAACGCUGGAAUUGCUGCUCCGUGGUAUGUGCGGUCCUCAGAAUAACGCUCAACAUUGACACCCAGGCGAGAGACAAUGAACUAUAGUGAAGACUCUGGCGCUCAGCGGUAAAAGUGGCGCACAGCGGUGGUUGCGGCACUUGUAUUUCCCCUCAACGUUGGCCCUUAGGCGUCAACCAGAGAACUCCAUAGCAAGGUUAGCGCUUAGUGGCGAAAAUGGCGCUCAACGGUGGAAAUGGCGCUCAAUGCCAUCUACGAUUCUUCUUUUGUGCAUUUUUCCUGCUUCUCUUGAGUCCAACUCCUUGCUACUUCAACUUCUUUAAUCCAAUUCAUGUUAAUUCCUGCCAAAACAAGGAAAACCAAGAAUAAAACAAAUAAUACUACCUUCAACUCUCUUAUUCUCUAAACUAAAGCAAAAGCUUGAUUUUAAGCUAGUUUUUAAGUCAUAAAGGGUGUUUUUAGUAUCAAAAUUAACUAUAAAAAUAACGGUAUUUCAACCGUUAUCAUCGCCUCAGCCUCCACUUCUUGGCCUCCUCGGCCUCCACUUCUUGGCUUCCUAGGCCUCAACCUCUCGGCUUCUUGACCUUAGCUUAGCCUCCUCAGCCUUAACUUCUUGACCGCCUCGGCCUCAACUUCUUGGCCGCCUUGGCCUUAUCUUCUUGGCCUCCUCAACCUCAACUUCGUGGCCUCCUUGGCCUCAGCUUGGCCUCCUCUACCUCAACUUCUUGGCCGCCUCGGCCUUAACUUCUCGGCCUCAUCUUGGCGUCCUCGGCCUCAACGUCUUGGCUGCCUCGGCCUCAACUUCUUGGCCUCCUUGGCCUCCACUUCUCGAUCUCCUUGGCCUCAGUUUGGCCUCCUCGGCCUCAACAUCUUCAUCGCCUCGGCCUCAACUACUUCGCCGCCUCGGUCACCUCGGCCUCAACUUCUUGGCCUCCUUGGCCUCAACUUCACAGCCUCAUUGGCCUCAGUUUGGCCUCCUCGGCCUUAACGUCUUGGCCUCCUCGACCUCGACUUCUUAGCCUCCUCGACCUCGACUUCUUAGCUUCCUCGGACUUAACUUCUCGGCCUCAUCAGCCUUAACUUCUCGACCUCCUUGGGCUUAACUUGGCUUGCUCGGCCUCAACCUCUUGGCCGCCUCGACCUCAACUUCAUGGCCUCCUCGGCCUCAACUUCGCGGCCUCAGUUUGGCCUCCUCGGCCUCAACUUCUUGGCUGCCUUGGCCUCAACUUCUUGGCCUCCUCAACCUCUGCUUAGCAUCCUCGGCCUCAAUGUCUUGGCCGCCUCAGCCUGGACUUCUUGGCCUCCUCGGCCUCAACUUCUCGGCCUCAACUUCUCGGCCUCCUCGGACUCAACUUGGCCUCCUAAGCCUCGGCUUCUUGGCCUUCUCAGCCUCAAUUUCUCGGCAUCCUCGGCCUUAGCCUGGCCUCCUCGGCCUCAACUUCUUCACCACCUCGGCCUCAACUUUUUUGCCUCUUUGGCCUCAACUUCUUGGCCUCCUUGGCCUCAACAGCUUAGCCUCCUCGACCUCAGCUUGGCCUCCUCGGGCUCAACAUCUCUUCCGCCUUGGCCUUGACUUCAUUAGAGGCCGAGCAGUUGAGGCCGAAUGGUCGGAUGAUUAGGGCCAAUUUUGGCUAAGUACCUGUAAGGUCGGAUGGCCGAAUGGUAGAGGCCGGAUCGCCAGAUGGUAGAGGCCGGAUGAUCGGAUGCUUGAGGCCAAAUUUGGAUAAGUACAUGUGAGGCCAUAUGAGGCUGAGCAAUUAAGGCUGGAUUGCCAGAUGAUUGGGGCCAAAUUUGGCUAAGUACCUGUAUGGCCGGAUGGCCUGAUCGUAGAGGUCGGAUGGUCGGAUGCUUGAGGCCAAAUUUUGCUAAGUACCUUUGGCCAGAUCGCCGGAUGGUAGAGGUUAGAUGGUCGGAUGUUUGAGACCAAAUUUUACUAAGUACCUGUGAGGCCAUGGGAGGCCGACCAGUUGAGGCUGGAUGGCCGGAUUAUUGGGGCUAAAUUUGCACUAGUACAAUAAGAAGAAAUGGCACCAGUUUUAUCUCCUUAUUGGCAUCGGUUCAACGACCGAUGCAUGUAUGGGCGAUGUAAAAAAUGUAUGCUUUAUGCCUUGGUCACGAGGCGAGAUAGAACGAGAUAGGAUUAUGCCUCGGUUCUUAGAUAACCGAGGCAGUAACGUGUUUUUUUUUUUUUUCAGAUUUUAGAACUCGGUUCUAUCAUGUCUAACAAACCCAAGAUUUCCCAAUUUCAGUUCAAGAAUCUAAAGCAAAGAAAACCAUAACAGGAAUCAAACAAGACACAAUAUUACACCAACGUUUAUUUAACUAUUAAACCAUUGACAUAAACAAGUUUGAACAGAGUUUGACAGGGUUCUCUACUUUUGUCUAGAGAAGCAGCUAACAUCAUGAGCUUCUUCAAGGAACAACAUACAUAUAAACAACCAAUGUCAAAAUUACAACCCACAAAACCAAAGUGAUAAUAGCAACAACUAAUGAGAAGAAACUUAGAAGCAAAGAUGAAGCAGCACCUCCCACCAUAAACAUGCCACAAGUGAUGAUUCAAAGAAGGCUUUUAUUGUGCGUCUGAAGUAUUGUGCCAACAAUGACCAAGAAGGAGUAUAGACCGAGGCAAUGUUUGGAUCCACAACCAAGACAGCUGAAUCUAAAAUGGGUAUCCCAAAUGCAAGAAUUUUCCCAGAUCCUGUGUCCUAGCUCGACCAAUCAUAUCACGUCCCUGUAUUGCAGGUUCCAACACAGCUCUCUACAACAAUAAUAAAUAAUUGAACUCCUCCAAAGGUUGCCAAUGGCUGAUCGUUGCACUGGUAAUAGUGACUAAGGCAGGAAAAAUCUCCAAAGGUUUGUAAAAUACAAAAGCCUGAGAUUUACCAUGUGAGCUUUUGCUCCUCUAAACCCUCUCAAACUUCCUUAUUUUCAAAACUUCUAGGCUUCCAAGGCUUAUCCUUCCUCCAACAAAACCAGCACCUGAUACCAUAGAAUUAACAAACAUUUGAUGACACAACAAUAGAAAAUCAAGUACAAACCAACAUAAUUUAAGAACUAUUGAUGUCAAGAAUUCAACUUCUUCAAGAUCUCUAGCCCACAUAAAAGACAAACAAACAUCGAGAAGAAAAAGUUGCAGAAAAAUAGAAAAUAAGAGUGUCCCCGCCACCCCAACCGCUGCAGGCCCACUGCCCCUCCACCUCCUGCCCCGCCACCCCGAUGAAGCCUUCACCGGCUUCUGCCCCUCAUGCCUCUGCGAACGCCUCACCCUCUUCGACCCCAACAACAACAACAGCCUCGCCACUGCUCGUAAACCUCCAUCCACUACCACUGCCACCCUUAAUGCCCUCUUUUGCCCACCCACCACCGCAGCACCCUCUCCAACCUUUUCCACCAAGACCUCAAGCCCUAAAACGAAAAAGCCCCAAAAGUAAAUGACAUUCGCCCACUCAAACCAGAUCUGCCAUCCUUUGGCGGCGAUGAACACCAGAAGCAAAUCCAUGAAGCACCUUCGCGAGCUAUUCCAUGGGAAAAGGUUGUCACUUCCAAGAACAAAUCUCCAACCUCUUUUCGCGCGAGACGAAAACAACGAACUUGUCAGCACUCUCGCAAGCUCUGAAGGAUCUCGUUGUCACAACCGUUGUUGUUGCGCGAACACGAAACCCCCAUGGGUCGCACCUCUGCCGUUGUGCCGCCUUCUGUGACGGCGGAGCUUCGUGAAGAUGGCCAUGAAAGAUGAAAAAGGGGAAAAUGCGAAGUAGCUAAUCAGUGAAAUCAGUGGAGGAAGUAACUAAUCGGUGAAAUCAGUGUGGAGGAAGUUAUUUAAUCGGUAGGGAUGGAGAUAUUCAAUUGUUCAAACGGCCAAAAUGGGAAGAAGAUGAAGAACCCUAACAGAGCUGAAGAAUAGGGUUUGCACGAAGAGAAACAGUGAAUGAAGAUGUGAGAGGAAAGUCUCGAGAUAAGCACGAAGAUAUGCCUCAGUUAUAAGGCAAACCGAAACAUAAAUGCACAAUAACAUUGGUUCUAAGAAGACCAGAGUAAUAGGGCUUUGUCACAUAGGGUUUUAUGCUUCGGUUUCAUAAAUAACCGAGGUGGUAGAGUGAACACACUUCGGUUCCCACUGAACCGAGGCAUAUAAGUUUGUUUUAAUUGCAAGAAUGCCACUGCGUUUUAAUAUGCUUCAGUUUUGUAAGGACCGAGACCUAUUAGCUGUGUUAAAAGGGUGUUUUUUUACUAGUGUUAGCUAAGUACCUGUGAGGCCAUAUGAGGCCGAGCAAUUGAGGUCGGAUGGCCUGAUGGUAGAGGCCAGAUUGCCGGAUGCUUGAGGCCAAAUUUGGCUAAGUUCUAGUGGCCGAGUGGUCGAGCAAAUGAAGCCGAGAAGUCCUGCCAGGGGAGUCAAAAUGGCCGAGUACAUGAGGCCAAGUGGAUGAGGUUGAAAGGUUGUGUUGACGUCCUUUUGAAGCACAAUGGGGAAGACUAGCUCAACCCCAUGGUGAGUGCCAAAAUGUUUCGAGUGUCUCAAAAACCGAACAUAACCUUAAAGACCGGACAAUUACCUUGAAGUUGUUCAUUCUCCUUCUUCCUUCCCCAGGCCGGGUACCUGUCAAAGGCACUCCGAUGCUCAAGCCAGUAAAAAUGACCGAACGACUAUCACAAGUUAUGCAUGUGAUGUGAAUAAUGUGUAGCGUCGUUUCAAGUCAUACCUAAGACCUCUAUUUAUACUAAUUGUAAUGGGCCUUUACUUUUGGUUGGUCCUAACAACAAUCCAAUCACACUUUAAUCUUCAUUAAGAGCUUAAUGAGUCAUUACCUACUAACGCAACCUAGGUGGACGGUAAUGAAAAGACAUUCUGAAAGAACAGCCUGAAAGUAUUACACGAGAGAGACCAUGCGGAAAGACCGUACGGCCAUGCGGAGGGCCGUACGAUACACUUGCCAAUUUUGUUUAUAUAUUUAUUGAAUAACUUUACCUAAGAUAAUUAAUUUUAAGAUUAAAUAUAAAUUUCCUUAUAAGAUAAGUAAUAUAUUAAGUAGUUACAUGUGAAUUUUAGCCAUACUGUUUUGUGAACUCAAACAAAAUUAUACCAUUUGAAAUAAUAUCAUUAAAGUAAUCAAGAGAGAUGAUUUUAAGAAUAAUUUCAGUUGAUGAUUCUUAACAUUUGAAUUUAAUAUAAAAUAUAUAUUAAUUGAACUAAAAAAUUAAUAUAUAAUUUAGAUUUUAUUCUUAUAUAAUUAGAAUUUAUAUAUUUUGAUGUGAGUGUUUGAAUUGAAAAAAUAUUAAUUGUAUAUAAUAUAUUAUGAGUUAAUUCAUUAAUUAGUUUCAUCUUAAUUUCAAUCAUAACCUUUAAAGUUAUUGUUAUUACAAUUGGUAUCCUUAUUUAUGAAUUCAAUAAUUAUUUCAUUAAAAUUAAAAUUAAUAAAUAAGCAUCAUUAAAUAAAUACAAAUCCUUUAGAAAACUAUAUUUAAAAACUUUCAUUUACUAAGUGUGAUUUAGUGCACUCUCGAGAAAAGUUAACAAAUUAUUGUUCAAAAAAUAAAUUUCUACUUUUUGUAUGAAGAUGAGUCCAUUUUUAUAGUACUAUUAGAAACAAAAAUAGAAAAAUAUAAAAGAACGUAUGUUACCCUGUUUUAAAACAACUUUUGAUAAUUAACUUCUCUUAAGAUGAAUGCUAUAAAGUUUUAUUUACACAACUGCAACAAGUGGAAGCUUAAAAAGAACGAAUUUGUGUUACAAGUCAAUCAACUCUAAGAAUUUCAAUUAUGAGAAUUUCAAUUCUGAGAGUACGUUGAAGUUGAAGCUAAUGAAAAUUAAUCAUGACUGAUCGUAAUAAUUAAACAAGUUGAUUAACAAGUUUACAUGGAUAAUAAUUAAAAUAUCAACAGUACUGAUGAAGCUUAAAAACUCCAAUAAAAUAUGCGAGAUAGCAUUUGAAGGAAACCUAAAAGUGAUCGACACUGUUUUCUUCUAUUUCAUGAAUAACCUCCAACUCAAAAUUUUGACGCCUUGCCGGAAAAAUGGUAUUUGUUGUAGAAGAACCAGAAAUAUGAAAAGGAGAAGGGGGUGCUACUAACUCACAUCCAUCGCCUUCAAGCAUUUGUACCACAGUUUUCAUGGAAGGACGAUCUGCUGGGUUCCACUGAAUGCACCAAAGUCCUACAAUGGCAAGUUUCUUGGCAAUUUUAGCAUCUGCAUUAUCCUCAACGCUAAUUUGCACAUCUUUUCCUUCCACCAAGUUAUGGAUCCACUCUGGGUACAGAAUUUGGAAACUGUCCUCAACUGACACAUUUGUAUUCUUUCUUCCUCCAACCAUUUCUAGUAGCAACAUCCCAUAGCUGUAAAUGUCAGACUUGUAAGACACAUUACCAAAGUUCCGAGAGAAAACCUCGGGGGCAAUGUAGCCCAAAGUUCCCCUGGCUGCAGUCAUCGACACCGUGCUCUGAUUUUUGGGACACAGCUUGGCUAAGCCAAAAUCAGUGAUUUUUGGGACAAAAAGGUCAUCUAACAAAACAUUGUGAGGAUUAAUGUCAAAGUGAAGAAUUCUAUGAUCACAACCAAGGUGGAGAUACUCAAUCCCUUUCCCAACACCAAGACCAAUUUGUUGCAACUUCUCCCAACCAAGGAAAACAUCCUUGUUGUCCGGUUGAACCAAGAAUCUCUGCAACGACCCAUUUGGAAAGAAAUCGUAGACAAGAGCACGGUGGAACUCAUCUGCACAGAAACCAAGCAGGCGAACAAUGUUAACGUGAUGAAUUUUCCCAAUGGCUCUGACUUCAUUUAUGAAAUCCUUUCCAUCUAUCACUGUGUCUUUGAGUAUCUUCACAGCAACAAGAAUUUCACUAGAGAGCAUUCCUUUGAACACUGCUCCAUGAGAUCCUUCCCCUAAACUCUCACUAAAACCAUUUGUGAUUCUCUUGAUGUCAGCGUAAGUGAACCUGGUAGGCUUCAUUGCCCUGUAAUCCUCCAAGAAUUUCUCUAUUCGAGCCUGGUCUUCUCCUCUCUUCUUAUAGAAGUCAUAUGUAUAAAACAAUGCCAUGACCGAUAGCAGCAAAAGCAUGAAACCACCUAUUCCUGUUGGUGGAAGAACAAGUUAACCAAAUAAAUAAAAAUUUUAGCAAGGAUUAAAUACAGUUGCAAGGGAUCAACAAAAAUAGCAAAACUAUAACAUAACAGUAACUGUAAUACUGCAUACCUGCAGCAAUGCGGACGACAGUUGACGUGGGAAUCCUUUUUGUUUGGCUAGAAUAACAUUCAGUCGCACCGUUAGUACCAUUCUUCCAUUUACAUUUUUGGCCUUGUGCUUCACAGUCUCCACAGUCAGGUUUUGACCAUUCCAUAACAAACCUACCCCCAUUGUACCAAGCCCACCCUUCGACGUAAACAUCUUUCAGCUUCGUGCAGGAUACCAAUUGGGGGUCAGUGGAGACGAUGUCGGAUCCUCCUACAAAAAUUGGGCACGAGGAAUCGCAUUGGAAGACGGAAACGUGAGACUUGGUAUCAUCUGUGCGAAAUCGGAAUGGAGAGAUGGAAGCCUUGCCGAGUUUCAAAAUUUGAUCAUUAAGGCAAUUUUGGGGGUCAUAUACUCUAAUUAGCAUAUAUUCGUAACCAAUUUCUGUGACAAACAAUUGUAUUGGAAGGGCAGGCAGCUCCAGAAUUGUUUGUUGGGUGCAUAACAGACCGAACUCAGGCGGGUAGUCGGUGGUGUGAUUCAAGUUUUUAUUUCUGAGAUAAAAUGGAAAUUGAAUGCGAACGUUGCCACAUUUAUCGGCGAAGUGGUUCUUGCCGGUCGCAGGAUUCCCUACCAGAAACAGCAGCAUCCAUAGAAGAGACAGCUUCUGAAAAUUGAGCAUUUUGGGGUUGAUUUUCAGUUUCAGGACGUCUUUCUGGUCAGCUCAAGUUUAACAUGGACUUGGUGGGCUGGCCGGGUGUACCAGCAACUCCGCGUUGUCUUCCUGUUCAGUCAAUUCAAUGACUCACGUUAUGGGUCUAAAUUUUCCACUUUAAAUGAUCAAGCCAGUCAAAUAACUCUAUUUCUUGACGAGUGGCUCUUUUUUUUUUUUUUCUUAAAUUUCAUCUUAUCCAUGUAAAAAAGUACAAUUUAAAAAAAUAAAAUAUAAUUAAUUUUAUAAAAACAGACGAAAAAGCUGUACAAUUAUUUUAAGUUGAGAAUCUCAUAUUUCUAAAAUAAUAAAAGUAUUUUUACUAAAUUUUUAUGUAAUAAUAUAAAUUAUUAUUAUUGUUUUAGAUCAAGAUGAACGAUAUUCAUUUAUUGAUAAUUUCAACCAAUGGUCCAUCUAAGUUAAUAUAUUUAAGGAAAAACUUCUUUUAACAAUAUUUUUUUAACAAUAUUUUGACACCGUGACAGUUUGUGAUUAAUCUAUUUUAAUUAUUUUUUAAAUAUAAAUUCAAAUAGACCAAUAAAAUAAUGACACGUAUCCCGUUGUAAAAAAAAUUAUUAAAAAGUGUUGUGAAAAUAUCAUUUGGGUAUAUUUAAAUGCAUUUUCUCCAAUUGGAGGAGCAGAGUUAACAAUGAGCCUCUUACCCUCUUGCUUUCGCUGCGCACAAUCAGUGGUUGUGUCGGUGGUCAUCAUUCUUGUGCUAUUCCACCAAACUUGCAGUGCCAAGCAUCGCAGAUCCUGUCCAUCUUCUUCGUGCGGCGGAAUUCGCGACAUAAAAUAUCCAUUCCGACUGAAAGGCGAUCCUCGCGGUUGCGGCCUCCCCGGGUACGAAUUUGAUUGCGUGAAUAACAGGACACUGGUUACUCUUUUUUCAGGAAAAUACUAUGUGAAGGAAAUCAAUUACAAUAUGUACGAAAUCCGGCUAAGUGAAGCGGGUGUUGUGGAGGAGACUUCUUGCUCUUUUCCUCGCUAUUUCUUAUCCCCGCAAAAUUUCAGUGGAUAUGCCGAUGAUCCGCUGACUUUUCCGAACUAUUGGUCGCAUGCUUAUUGUUUUGCAAACGUAGGGUUUCUAAACUGUAGUAACCGAGUGAGUGAUGAUCCUCGAUAUGUCGAAGUGAAAGCAUGUGGUAGUGAUUCCGGAGGAGUUAUCUACGCCGUUCUGGACCUUACAGCGGAGGAUACGAAGGUUGGAUGCAGAUUAAAGAUGGCUACCUUGGCAAACUGUACAUAUAACAAGAAUGUUUCCUAUGCUGAUAUCCUCAAAUCUAUGGAAGAAGGAAUUUGGUUGUCUUGGUUUCCAGUUGUUUGCAGGGACCACUGUGGAAAUGGUGUCUCUUGCUUCCUCAAUGAAACCACCAAACAAAUUCAAUGCGAUACUUGCCAAAUCUACAACCAUCCUACCUACAAUUGUGGUGAGAUAUAUUCUUCUACCUAAUGUCAUUCAUAUUUUAUUUUCAGAUUUCUAAAUUAUAUAAAAUGCAUAAUUUUUUUUUAAAAAUACAAAAUACGAAUAAUUCGUCUUCUGACAAAAUGGGUUGUAAUAACAGAAGUUAUGUUUCAAUAGAUCACUUCCAUAACAAGGUGUUAAGGCUUCUCCAUUUCAUAUUUUAAGAAAGAAAAACUAGUGUGAAACUUCGCUUUUAAGAAAAAAUAGAAAACAAAAUUAUAUUUUUAAAGCAAUUUUUUAUUAAAAGAAAUAUAUGUUUUGAAACACGCUUAUCCAUUCUCGUAAUGCUUUUUUUUAAAUUUACCAAUUUCAGGAAAAAAUGGCCAUGUAUGUAGAAAAACCUAAAUAUAAUUAGAUUCACUUCCAAAGAAGCUUCCAAGUAUAAUUAUGGUUAAGACAUAAUUAAACUAUAUUUUAUAUUUUGAUUUUUAUUAUUACAAUGGUUUUUUCUUAUUUGAAGUGUAAGAAUAAUAUUUGUAAAACUUUGAAAACUGUAUAGAAAUUUGUUAUUUUAAAAUAAAAGACAAAUAUAUAUAGAAUUCUUUAAAUAUUACCAUGACAUUGUAAUUCAAAAAGAAAAUUUAUAAUUCCAGUAUAAUUUACUCAAAAAUAUCAUGAAACUUGUUAAGGUUAAUAAAUAUAAUAGAGUAAUUUCAUUUUUUAUAAAAUAUUAUGUCUUUAUACCUUUUCCGUCACGUUAAUCUUUUAUGUAAAUAAUAUACUAUUUUAAUUUACUUUUUUUAUGUAAAUAUUUCUUUUUAUUAUUUUAGGAAUUCUAUCGCGAAUUAUUGGAUACCCUACAGGUACGCACGCUAUCCCAUGGUUCGUCUCGCAAUACCAUUAAAUUUUUGGUAUCUAAGAAUUAGAAAAAAUUAUACUACUACUUAUAAUCAUCACGUAAUAUAUAUAUAUAUAUAUAUAUAUAUAUAUAUAUAUAUAUAUAUAUAUAUAUAUAUAUAUAUAAAUACCUGUGAAUAUAUUCGCACAUAUAAUACAUUUACAUAAAAAAAAAACUUAAAUAUUACAUGUUUAGGAAGAUAUGCAAAAUGUAAAAAUAUAAAGUAAUUGAUAUUUGAUACAGAAGACUUUUACAUUUGAUGUUAUCUUUCAUUAUUUUUUUACUUUUUUUCUUUAUAAAUACAAAAAUUUAAUAUUUUAUGAUAUGAAUUAAAAGUGUCUCAAAGUACUAUUACAUAAAAACAUAUAUACAUACAUGAUUUGGGUAUAGGGUUGAGUAACGCAAACCGAGUAAUAGAGGGGUAGUUCUGAUGCAAAUUUUGUUAAGUGUUAUCCUUUGACGCAUUUCCCUUGGCUCAUAAGGCAGGUUGAAUUCUGAUAGCCCAAGUUACCAUUCGACCAGCUAAAUCAGGUUUUUUUAGGAUCUUCAAAAUAGGGUAGGCUAUCUGGACCACUACUUGAUGGCUCUAGAAGUAAGGCUGAAGCUUCCUGGUUGUGUUUAGUAACACCAACGCAACCUUUUUCACCUGUUGGUAACAGGUUUUUAACAUCCUGAAACACUCAGUUGAUGAAAUAGAUAAGCUUCAAUUCUGGUUUCUCUUGCAGUAAUAUGACACUGGUGGCCUCGUCCGACAUCCCUAAAUAAACAUGUAACUCCUCGUCGGCCACUGGUCGGUUCAUUACCAGGGGACAAGUCAAUAUAUCCUUCACCUCCGCGAAUGCCCUCUCACAAUUCGUGUCCCACUUCUCCAUUGACCCUUUUUCCAUUUUCCUCAACACCGGCCGAAUACGCUCGGCCAGCUUGGGGAUGAACUGAGAGCGGGAUGUAAUUCGUCCGACCAACCUCUGAACCUCCUUUAGGUUUGUCAGACUCUUCAUUUCUAGGACGACUACACACUUAUCUGGAUUGGCCUUUAUCCCUCGAUCCGUCAACAUAAACCCUAAGAACAUCCCGACCCCCACUCCGAAGGUGCAGUUGGUUGGGUUCAAUCUCAUCCCACUACAAAAAAAUGUUUAUUUAGAGGGGUUUUUUUUUUCGAUUUGCGGGGGUUUUUACCCUCCGCUAAAUAAAUUCCGGGGGUUUUUUAAACCCCCGCAGUUUGAGUCGCCACAAACUAUCUGCGGGGGUUUUUUUCGCCCUCUGGUAUCAUAUUCAAUUUGCGGGGGUUUUUCUGCGGAGGGUAAAAACCUCCUCUAUAUAUUCAAUUUGCGGGGGUUUUUCUGCGGAGGGUAAAAACCUCCUCUAUAUAUUCAAUUUGCGGAGGUUUUUUCUGCGGAGGGUAAAAACCUCCUCUAUUACUGACUAUUAUUUUGAGGGGGGUUUUAAUCUCCUUUAUAUUUUUAUCACUUUUUUUAUUUGAUGAUUAUUAANNNNNNNNNNNNNNNNNNNNNNNNNNNNNNNNNNNNNNNNNNNNNNNNNNNNNNNNNNNNNNNNNNNNNNNNNNNNNNNNNNNNNNNNNNNNNNNNNNNNNNNNNNNNNNNNNNNNNNNNNNNNNNNNNNNNNNNNNNNNNNNNNNNNNNNNNNNNNNNNNNNNNNNNNNNNNNNNNNNNNNNNNNNNNNNNNNNNNNNNNNNNNNNNNNNNNNNNNNNNNNNNNNNNNNNNNNNNNNNNNNNNNNNNNNNNNNNNNNNNNNNNNNNNNNNNNNNNNNNNNNNNNNNNNNNNNNNNNNNNNNNNNNNNNNNNNNNNNNNNNNNNNNNNNNNNNNNNNNNNNNNNNNNNNNNNNNNNNNNNNNNNNNNNNNNNNNNNNNNNNNNNNNNNNNNNNNNNNNNNNNNNNNNNNNNNNNNNNNNNNNNNNNNNNNNNNNNNNNNNNNNNNNNNNNNNNNNNNNNNCAUGUGCUCACAUUUUAAAAAUAAUAUAUAAAAAAAUUAAUCAAAUUGAAUUCAGUUUUAAAAGUCGUUAUUCAAAUUAUAGUAGUGAGUACGAUGGCAUCUUGUGAAAACUAACCUCUAGCUGGAAUUUUCAGUUCUGUAGAGCUCUGAUACCUAAAUCUACUUUCUUCAACUGCAAAAGUUACAAAAAUAUAAAAACACAUGCAAUUUUCCAUAACAAACUAGGGAAUCUUCCACAUAUUUUUUGCUAUAGAAAGAUUAAAGAGAGUUUCCAAACCUGCUCCUCAAGUAUCACUUUGACUAGUAAUACCNUNUUUUCUCCUAUGUCUUCUGUCCCUGCAACAGCAAUUAAGACAUCAAGCAUAAAAAAUAUCUCCCUAAUGAAAAUGUUUACAUCAUAGUACUUUCACGAUGUACGCAAUCAAGACAGAUCAUUCACUGCAAGCUAUAUAUAUUUAUUGUCACGAACAAACAAGCUAUCAUNCAAUCAAAAGANUGUUCUUGUCAUUUCACUCAAAAUCAAUGGAAAUUCCCUUGGCAACAUUUAUAUGCGAAUGACCGAUGCUUGGCUCGAAGACUUCAAAACUAAUCAGACUUGAGAAACUCUAGCAUAUUACAAAGUCCAAUAAUUUAAAAACUUAAACAUAAAAAUAUUAAUAUUAAAACAUAACAUAUCCUUAUCAGUAGUUAUUAAAACAUAACAAAAGAUAGAUAAUUAUUGAUCCUCAAAUCAAUCCCCAGCACCACACUGUUUACCCUUAAAGUUUACAUGAAAUUCAAUACUUCAUCUCAAACUUUGAAACCAACUUGGUAGACUUAAUAAGAGUCUUUAAACUUAUANGUAAAUCAUAUAACUUGAACUUUCAAUCUAAUUGUUGAAUGAAAGAAAUAUCUUAUGUUUACAUUUAAUUAAGUCUUUCAAGUAUUUUAUAAAAUUAAGUAUUUUUAAUUCACUUUAUUCAACAUUUUUAUAUAUUUGAGUUUCUUUCAUUUAAUUUUUCUAUUAACUUGUUUAAGAAUAAAAAUGAAACAUUUUGCAUUAAUAUAAAAUAAUAUUAAAAGUAAAACAAAAAGAUAAGNAAUUUUUAUUAAUUUUAUCAGUUAAAUGUUGCACUAAAAUUAAUACAAAACAUAUAUUAGGGACUUUUUCCAAUUAUACUUAAGGGUACUUCCCUGAUUCUGCAGUAAGUGGUUGCUUGGGUACCUUUGCGCUUCUCUUUUAAUGUAGCUAAACACUUACAUACUAUCUAAGUUAUUUUACUCUGUUAAUUACCUUUUGGUCCAUAACUUUUGUAACAGCCUCACGAACUGCAGCCAUAUCCAGACCAAUCAGUACACAACUACAUAUUCUAGCUGCCCAAAAUGAGACAAAAAUAAAGCAAAAUUUUGAUCUGGGUAAAAGUUCUUUUAGGUUUUGAUUUGGGGGGAGUUUUAAAAAGUCUAAAAUCAUAGAGGAAACGAAAAGUAUCGAAGAAAAGAAAAAGAUAAAAAGAAAGUAAUUAUAAUUUAUGGGAAACCUCUUCUAAAAGGAAUUUAAACCCCCUCUAUUAUUAGCACUUAAGUAAUUUAUUAAAAUCCUUUUCAAUCAUGUUAGUUUGUGGGAGUUUUUUAAAACCUCCUCAAAAUAACCUCCACUAGAUAAUAGUUUUUUUGUAGUGCAUGUAUAUUAAGCAUAGUAAUUACUUUGACUCAAAGCCACUUCAAUUUGUUUCCAUAGAUAUAUAAAAAGUCACAGUUAAAGCUCUAAAUAUAAAAGCAAAUGAUACAUUAUAACUCUAAUUUAAAACAUAUAGCAUAAAACAACACUUUAAAAUGCUAACAUGGAGAUCUAUGCUUUGUUGAAACCCUUUUUCAUUACCUGAAAGUAAUGAAAUAUGUUAAUACGUAAUUAUAACAAACUACAGUAACUUAUAUAUGAUUUACAUUCUAGCUGUCACCAAUUAAUGAUUCUUAAUAUGUCGUUCUAAUUUUUUUAAAAUCAUUUAAAAACUUUUUACCUUGUGCAAUUUCUUGAACAAUUCCUCGAACCAGAAUAUGAAUCACCAGCAAUGUAAACUUCCUUUGACAAAAAUUUUGGAUGAUAAAUUAACCACUGCAAACAAUUAAGCAUGAUUGUGAUUGACUAACAAAUAUAUUCUGAAAUAAAGAAAAGAGAAGGGUUCUAAAAUAAAGAAGUAAAAUUUGGAUGGGCUUGACCAGCUAAUAACUUAUCACUACUUUGAACAGCAAGUUCUGUUCUGGCAUAAGUAAAGCCUGUGAAAAAAGGCAAGUCUACAUAUAUAAUGCUACUAACCUACAAACAAAACACCGUACGAAAGACUGAAUUUGUAAGCAGAAAAUAUAGACUAUCAUUUGAUCAUAAUGUAGACUAGUACCUUGUUCCAUGAUUGAUUCCUAAAGAUCAAGUUGGGUGCACCUUCAUUGUAACGAAUGAUCACAAUGACAAGUUUAAAUUUCUAACCGAAGUGACCAAACAAUACAGGUUCAUACCUUGAAAUUAUCUAAACAGUGAAACUUUCUGUAUACCAGGCNUGCCUUUGCUCUUGGNAUUUCCAGGGGAUCUUUCGCACCUAUAGCAUUAAAAAUUCACAAAACCUAAAACUGGUAACUAAAUUGACUAAUGUGGAUGGAUCAGAGGUCUAUAUAUUGUUCAGGUAUAGAGCCAGAUUCGAUUUGAAAAUGUUCAAUGUACAACAUAUACAAUAGAAUCUUACCAUUGAGAAUAAGUAAAGGACAGGGUACGAAGGUUGGAAUUGAAUAAGGUGAAUGAAAUUGUGAAGGUAAACCUGGAGCAAUUCUGUCCCGCACCUAAUUUUAUAUAUAUAUUUUGAGAAACAAUAUCAUGAAACAAGAACAAAGUUAUAUAGAAAUUGUAUACAAUGAUAAUUUUGCAUACGUAACGUAACCAUUUUUAAUCAUGUUAAAAACAAUAAAUUAAAGCAUAUAACAGUUCCUAUCACUCAUACAAAGUAAACAUAGUUUUGUUUUUCUCUAAGCGCAAAAUGAAAAGGAAAAUAAAGUGUUACCUAUUUCAAGAAAAAGGCGAGUUAGGGAUGAGCAACCAGUGCCACCGGAUAGCCAAAGCAGGAGAGGAUCUUCCUUAGGGUUGUUAUUUGACUCAAUGAAGUAGUAAAAUGUUUGCACAUCCUUGGAUUCUCCCACUCCCUCAUAACUUUCAAAUCAUUAGUUUCAACCAAAUGCUUUCAAUCUCAUAAGCCAAAACCAACAAUCCUUUUUUCCAAUUCCAUAUUAAGCAACUUUUCUGCAANNANNUUUNCCNNNNCNNNNNUUUUNNNNGNNNCNANNANNANNNCNNNAANUUNNNNNNNNNNNNCNNNCNNNNCCNNNNNNNNNANNAANNNNNNAANNANNNAAANCNNANNNNUNANNAANAAAAAUAGACCUGUCACGUUAUGAGUGGAAGCUCCAUCGUCUGCUUGGUCCACACAACCACUGUUGCAGCUUCGUCUACCAGGAGUUUCGCGACUGUGAAUCUAAAAGAAAAAUGAAACAUGAGCAAUCGAAAGGAAAAAUAAGAAAAAUAAAGGAGAAAAGGAAAUAGAAGAAGGAAGAAAGGAAGAAACGAACACGAGGGAAAAAGCAUAACGCAAGAGAGAAGGGAAUUUUAGGGUUCAGAGAGAUUUUAGAGGAAACACAAGAGAGAAGGGGAUUUUAGGGUUUAGAGAGAUUUUAGAGGAAGGAAGGGUUUACGCAUAUAGUGUUUUAGAAUUAGGGGAAUAAAAUUUUACAAUUGAAGUUUUAAAUUUUUAAGAGGGAAGAUUGUGUUUUAGAAUUGGGAGAAUAAACCUCUCUUAAUAAGAAUUAAAGCCCCCACUAUUAUUGGCACUUAAAUAAAUAAAAUCAAACCUCUUAAAUGAUGUUAAUUUGAGGGAGUUUUUUAUAACCUCCACAAAAUAACCCCCUCUAAAUAAGUUUUUUUUUGUAGUGUCCCCUACCGCCAGACUUGUUUGAAGACUUCCUCUAGGUCUUUUAUAUGUUUCGCGCUAGAUUUUGAGCGGACCAUGUCGUCUACAUACAUGUCCAUGGUGGUCCGAUUUGAUCUACGAAGAUUUUGUCCAUCAAACGUUGUAGGUUGCAUCAAAAUUCUUCAAACCAAAAGGCAUGACCUCAUAAGAAAAGUUGGCCUUCUCGGUGAUGAAGGUUGUCCUGUCCUAGUCGAGCGCAUACAUUGGGAUUUGGUUGUAGCCUAAAUAGGCAUCUAAAAAGCUUAACAUUUUGUGGCCGGACGCCUCGCUGACCAGGCUAUCAAAGCCUCGCUGACCAGGCUAUCAAAGCUGGGUAAUGGAUAUGAAUCCUUGGGGCAGACCUUGUUUAGGUCUGUGUAGUCAGUGCACAUGCACCACUCCACUGGACUUCUUAACCAUAACCACAUUGGCGAGCCACAUGGUGUACGUCACUUCCCUCAUAAACCCCACCUCUUGCAACUUUCCUACCUCUUCCUCCACAACCUGCCUCUUUUUGUAUCCCAUUCCCCUCUUUUUAUGGGAGACCCACUGCACCUCCUUAAAUAGCGCCAGCUUGUGAGACAUGACCAAGGGAUGGAUCCCCAACAUGUCGGUCGCAUCAAAGCGAAAAGGUCGCGGUUGCGCCAUACUGCAAAUCUCAACCCCCUCUCGACGUUCGGUUCCAAGCCUUUGGCAAUCAUAGUGACCUUGGAAUCGUCUUUCCCUACAAUGAUCGGUUGCAGGGCCCCCAAGGGUUCCAUCCGAUCUUCCGUGUUGGUUCACGGGUCCAAAUCUACCAUGAUCACCUUUAAUUGUGCUUCCUGUUUCCUGGCAAAGUGCGGAUAAAGCUUCAGGUCGGUUGCAUAGCACUCGCGUGCUGUCUUUUAUCUACCCGAACGAUAUAGAUAACCCCUUUGUUUGACAGGUAUUUCAUUGUUAGGUAGGGGGUUGACACAAUGGUGCUGAAAGCAUUCAGACACGGUCAAUCCAAUAACAUGUUGUAAGAUGUGUUAGCUUCCACUAACAGGUUACACACUACUUCUCUUCGUUGUCCCGACUGGUCCCGAGGCGGGUACGAAGCUCCACGUACCCUCAGGUGUCCACCCACACCCGCGAAGCCAAAAAUAUGCUCGUUGUAGGGCACUAUCAGAUCUUCAGAUAAGUCCAUGCGCUAGAAAGUUUUCUAGUACAAAAUGUUGACUAAGCUUCCUUGGUCCACUAGUACCUUGCUCACUCCGUACCUAGCUCUUUCCACCGUGAUGACCAUAAGGUCGUCUUACUCAGGGUCGGGUGCAUGGAAAUCUUCAUCCAUGAAAGUGAUGGGAGGCAUGGUCUCUUGGACCUGUCUACUGUGUGGACCGUUCGAAGCACCCGAACAUGUCGCUUCUUGGCCGAUGAUAAUGAUCUGCCUCCGACAAACUCGCUAGAGAUGGUAUUGAUAUGGCUACGUAGGGGGCGGUCAUUACUUCUGCUACGACUUCUACUCCUCCUUUGUUCCGAUCGUGUGCGAUCGUUCCCGCCAUACCGUUGGCAUCCGCGAUACUCCCUCCUAUCUGAACUUUUAUGCCGAGGGCUACGCUCCGAUCGCUUCGCUGGGUGUUUGGUUUUUAUGUACUUCUUCAGUUGAUCGACCGAAAUCAACUCCUUUAUUUUGUCUUUGAGAGUCACACAUUCCUCAGUCAUGUGUCCCAUAUUCUUCUGGUACAGGCAAUGUUUAUAACUGUUUGCAUUGGGCGGCGUGGGUCGACACUUCGGUGGUGAAAUCACUUUUUCGCUGAGAACUUCCUGCAAUAUUUUGCUCGGGUCGUGUUCAAUGGGGUAUACUAAUGGAAACGUGAUCCUCUUGGUAAUUCCUUCGGCUUGGACCCUCCUGGUCUUUCACCAAAGCCUGGUUUGUUCCCAUAUUUCUUGUCACCUACCGCUUCUUAAUUAUGCUUCUUACGAGACUCCUUCAUCUCUUCCACCUUUAUAUCCUUCGUCGCCCUCUCUCUAAGUUCUUCCAUGGUCUUAGGGGCUCGUCAACAGAUGUUGUCGGCGAACGGACCCGGCCUGAGGGCUGGGAGUACGUAUUAGAGGGCGAGCUCGAGUUAAAACCCUUCACCUGCCGCACGGUCUUAUGGUACCGGUCCAUAAACAUUCUCACUGCCUCUUCCUUUCCUUGCUUAAGGUUCACCAGUGAAAAAACAGUCAAGUCUUGAGCAUGGCUGCUCGCAAACUGACGAUCGACCAUGCGCUUGAGACUCUCAAAGUUCUUAAUCGAGUUGGGAGGUAGCGAAUUAAACCAUUCCAACGGUUCUCCCUCCAACGAUAGGGAGAAGGCUUGACACCAGAUUGUGUCGUACCCAGUGUGAAACGUCAUCUGAUUGGUGAACGUGUUUAUGUGAUCCUUCGGAUCGGUUGACCCAUCAUACAUCUUGAACAAGGGAGUGACGAACUGCUCAGAUAUAUGAACGUCCAUAAUGGCGGGAAUGAAUGACAGACUUGACACCAGAUUGUGUCGUUCCCAAUGUGAAAAGCCAUCUAAUUGGUGAACGUCUUUAUGUGAUCCUUAGGAUCGGUUGACCCAUCAUACAUCUUGAACAGGGGAGUGACGAACUGCUCAAAUAUAUGAACGUCCAUAAUGGCGGGAAUGAACGACAGCAUGACGACCGUGUUCUCCUCUUUCACCACGAGUUGCUUGCUAAUUACAGUGCUCUCAUCUGGGACGGUCUUGAUCCCGCUUUCCCUGACUCUUGUCUUAGUCGGCCGCCAUGAGUCAUCAAGCGUCGUGUUCUGUUUCGUCUGUUCCUCUUGGGCCACCUUCUCUCCUUCCUCUACAGCUUUUCCUCCCACCUCUACUGUGACUUGGGUCGCGUUCUCAGCCCUAAGCGUGGCCAAUCCCGCCUCGUAGCGUUGUUGCAUCUCCUCAAUCUUCUGUAGUAGCAUAUAUACAUACAUACAUGGUUUGGGUAUAGGGUCGAGUAACUUCUAACUCCUUCACAAUUUCUCCUCCAAAGUCAUUCUGGACACUAUGUUCUUUUCUUAGUCUUCACUUCAAUCGUUUUGGAGAGGUACCUGCCAAAGGUUCUCCGAUGCUUAAGUCAGUAAAUAAUUCGUACGGUGUUCAAAGAAAUGGUAUUAAAUGCAUAGUAAAUGUGAUCACCUACCUCUUACCUUUGACCUGUAUUUAUAUUUUUUGAGAUAAGCUUGAGAUUAGUGAUAUCUUAAUAUCGGCCCAAUCUUAGUCCAUUACUGCUACUUAUCAUUUACCUUAAUCCUUGAAAAGAAAACUUAUCUAUUGAAUAAGGUCGGACGUCCCUGAUUUGGGUUGUUCGGUUUAGGGUCGUUCGGUGUUGUCUAUCAGAGUCCAAUGGCAUCCAUCUGUGGUUUAGCCGUUCCUAAUUCUCCUACAUUGUCCGGCCUACUUGGUACACAUUAUAUCACAGAGUUGUCCGACCCCUACAUUACAAUACAUAUAUAAAUAUAUUACAUAUUAAUGCUUUAAUGCUUCUCAUCAUCAUUACUGGCAUGAUUCUUUCCUUACAUAUAAUAUACGAGUGUAUAUAAUGAAAAUUUAACAUUAUUACCUAAAACAAUAUCAUUAUCAAUUCAAAAUCAAAAGGAUUCAAUUUAAAAUAAAUCAAAUGUUUAUCAUACAACACAACUCUAUUGGUUCAAACAAAAUGCAAACAUUUUGACUUUGUUUUUCGAAGACCAAUGUAUUAAACAAACUUACAAAAUUUGCACUUGUCAUAUUUCAAUGUCUCGCUUCUCACGAGUUGUAUCUUUAGGAUAGGCUUUAACCUGAGUCUAACUUGGCUCUGAUAGGAUAAGCUCUAACUUAGCUCUAAUACCAUGUUAAGUUUGAUAGUGGCCUGAUAGCGGGUGGAACAAUAUGCCCAACAAACAACAAAUAUCGCUAGGAUAGGCUCUAACCAUAGCUUUGAUACCAUUUAAAGAAGUAGACUUUAAGCCUAACUCAACCCCUCAAAAUCGGCUUGCAAAGUGAGGUUUGCACCCACUUAUAUAUUAUAAAUUGGCCUUAUCUCAAGUCGAUGUGAAACUUCCAACACGCCUAACUAUGUUUCUUACUCAUUAGAAGUUUGUGUUUAUAUGGCACCCAAUGACACCUAACUCGCAUUUAGGGAUCUUAAACAUCUAGUUCUUUAAAAUUAGGUUAAACCCCUUCAAAAGUCCCUAUUUUCGUACCUUUUUCCCAGUUGCAUCCCUGUUUUAUUUUUUUUUUCCAAUUUGAUCCUUAAUAGUGUAUAAUUGAUUCAAUUGAGCCAUCACCGUUAAAUCAAGUUAACUUCGUCAAGUUUUUUCUGAGUUGUGUGUGACGUGGAUUUUUGAGGUACAUGGCAGUUUGUUAAAAAAAAAUUUAAAAAUUGGGGUUUUUUUAGAAGUUGUUCUCUUCUCUGCCGUUCCAUUUCCGUCAUCUUCUUCUUCUCUGCAACAAUGGUAAAUCAAUGAUUUUUUGUUUCUUAAAUUAAAAAAAAUGUUUUCAUCAGCUGCAGUCACAACAACCACCCUAUUCCAGACGACGUCGUUCCAUUGUCGUGACGGAGCCAUCAUCUUCACUGACCUUUAAUCCCAAAUUCAACUUUAUCGAACCCUAAAUUGCUUUUCAGAAAUCUAAGACAGAGAGAACCUUCUCCUUCUGGGCUUGGACAAAUCAACGUUCCAUCUUCCAAAUGGGUCGUAUCCUUCGACCCGUUUUUGAACGGGUUCAACUUCUCCAACGUUUUCGAAAUGGAAGAGAAGAACAUUGUCUUUUUUGUUGUUGUUCCAGACGACGUUGUUCCACUGCCGUGAGUAUUCUCACCGUUAUUAACGUUCUUAUCCUGCAAAUCAGAAAUGGACAUCUGUUUUUCUUUCUGCUUUUCCUGUGUUUUGAACGCUCGAUGUUUGUUAAUUUUGUUUUGUGUGUUCGGAUCGUGUUGUUUCGCCUUCAGUUGCGGGGAUCUUCGGUUUAGGUUUGUUUAGGGAUUUUUUUUGUUGUUGUCUGUUUCUGUUUCUGUUGGAGUUUUUGAAUGAAUUUGUGGCGUUCUGGUUUGAGAGAAGUCAGUGGGUAUGGAGCAGCAGGUGUUGAUAGGUUGUCGGAAGAGAUGAAUGAUAUGAAAAUUAGGGACGAUAGAGUAUGAAUAUUUUCACUUUUUCUCAUUUUAGCCUUAUUUCAGGAAUGUCUUUGUGGUUGAUUUUGAGUUUCAGGCUAAGUUACUUUCAAUUUUUCUACCAUCUUCAAUAACUCCAUUCUCAAGUGCAGAAGUGCUUUGCAAAGAGAAAAGCGACCAAUAGUAACAACAACAAUGGAGUUUUCAAAACCAAUUUUUAAAAUGUUUUUUUUUAUCAAAUGCCAUGUAUAAUGGUCAAGCAAUGUCACGUUUAAAAAAUUGUCCAGCUCUAUAUUACAGAUCAUCAAAAAUUUCACGGUGUUAACUAAAUUUAACGGUGAUGGCUCAAUUGAGUCAAUUAUACACUAUUAAGGAUCAAAUUGAAAAAAAAAAACAGAAAUGCAACUGGGAAAAAAGUACGAAAAUAGGAACUUUUGAAGGAGUUUAACCUUAAAAUUAAUAUAAAAUCAACAUAAAAAAUUAAGACAACAAGUCACACUCAAUGAAAUAAACAAGAAAACAAAAUCCAAAAUAAAAAACAAAAAAAUCUUCCAACUAAUCUAUAUAAUUCAACAUAAGGCAAUGCAACUUUAUCAUUGAAGAUCAAACAUACUCAAUUGAAGAAAAAACAACAACAUAACCAAAUUACUUCACAUGAGAGUUCAAUAUCAAAUCCCUUUAACACACUUUACUCCUCAUCAUCACAAAUAUUAAUCGAUAGUAAUUUUAAAUUUUACUAUCCUUUACCUUAAAUAGUUCUUCCAAAGCUAAAACUUUAUAAUUUUAUAUACUGAGCAACUCCCAACUAAAAACCUAAUGUAAAGUAUUAAAAAAAGCAUAAAUUUGUUAUAAAGUAGAUUAAGCUGAAAAAAUCACUUCUCUCAACUAUUGUUAUUAAGAUUUAUGACUAAAAUCAUAUAUAAACUAGAAAAAAAAAAUCUUAUAAAAUAAAAAUAAAAAGUUAUUCUAUUUAAAAAUUCAAAGAAGCCAAAAACUAUUGAUUUUCGUUAAGUUUGAUUUUUCUUCUUUUAUAUAUUAUCUUAUUCUUAUAUUAUAUUAUUGUUUUCUCACGUUACGUGAUCUCAGUAUAAUUUUUUUUGUCUUAUUGUCAUGUAUAUUUAUUGUCUUAUGUAAGAAAUCUUUUGUUUUUAUAGGUUUUUUGAAAAGCAUCAUAAAAGGUAAUAAAGGUUAUCUAUUUCUCCUUUCAUUAAAUUCUACAAUAUAUCAAUUGGUUUUUUCCACAUGAACCAAAUUAUUUAUUAGACUUUUUCAUUAAUUUUAUUUUCACGCACUUUAAAUUUUGAUGAAACUUAACUUGACAGGAAUAUUCAAUAGAAUAACAAAUGCCGAAGGAUCAAAUGAUGUGGGAGAAUUGAUAGGUCAAUAUAUUCUACCAAUAUUAAUUGCAACUAGAUAUUUGUUUGGACUCUCACUUUUUCUAGUGAUAUUCAUCUAUAAAUGGCGACGUAGACAUUUUUCAAUGUAUGAAAACAUUGAAAAUUUUUUGUUAGACAACAAUAUAAAUCCCAUUAGAUAUGAGUAUAGAGAAGUGAAGAAAAUGACUAAAGGUUUCAAAGUGAAAUUAGGAGAAGGAGGUUUUGGUUCUGUGUACAAAGGAAAGCUUCAAAGUGGCAUAGAUGUAGCAAUAAAGAUGUUGAGCAAAUCCAAAGACAAUGGACAAGACUUUGUUAAUGAAGUAGCUACCAUUGGAAGAAUACAUCAUGUGAAUGUUGUAGGUCUUAUUGGAUAUUGUGUUGAAGGAAAAAAGCGUGGUCUAAUUUAUGAAUACAUGCCUAAUGGGUCAUUGGAUAAAUUUCUUUGUCUCGGUUUUGAACUGAGGCAAAAAUGUGUGUGCUUUUGUCUCAGUUUAUUUUCAACUGAGGCAGUAGAGGGUGUUCCUUUUUUUAUUUAUUUUUUCUUCAGACUAGUGCAUAAAUAACAUUUAACGUCACGCGUUUAACGUCUAACGAAAAGAAAUUCAACGUAAGAAAUUACUAAUGGUAGAUUUGUAAAUAAAAUGUCAUCAUAGAAGUCGGUUAAAUGGGUCUCCGACGUCAAAUAAGGUAUAGACGUUGGCUCCCCCAAGGUCAGACGUCAAAUGGUCCGCAUACAUAACUGAAAAGUCAUUAUUUUAUUGCUAGUUAGAAAUUGGCCCCCCUCCCACAAACAUAAAAAAGGUGCAAAAUUACCUCAGUUUGGGCGCCAGUAUUAAUUUUUUUUACCACUUAGACAUCGGCUAGGAAGGGGGUCGAAGUCUUAGAGCACUUUGAUGUCGACUGGGAGGGGGCCCGAAGUCAAAUACCCUGCAUUUUCACACACUAAGAACGUGAGCACCAGUUACGCGUUUUCUCUCUUCCUGCGUUCAUAUUCUUCCUCUGCUUUCUCUCUUUCGUCAUUAACGCUCAAAUAAGUUUUCUUCCACUUUGCACCGUUUAAAAUCAUUUUGCACAAAUUAUAUUUGGUUUGGAACCAUUAUCGUUCAUUUGCACCGAUUAAAAUGCGUUUUCAUUGGCUUUUGGUGCAGUUCUAGUGUGCGAGUUCUGAGACCUCGGCGACGGAGCUUUCCCUCUUCAUUACUUAUGCUCAUUCUGCAUUGCUUGUGCUCUUUCUCCUUUAGUGAUUACCAUUUUCAACCCUUCAAGAAGGUUGAUAUAUUUGUUAUUAUUUGGGAUUGCUUUUUAGAUUGUUUAAUAUUAUAAUGACUUGAAAUGCUUAGUAUAUAUCAUUUUGUGAUGUGCUGGGAACAUUUUGUGUAUUUCAGGUAUGGUUCUAUUGUAAAAACAUUUUUUUUAAAUGUAAAUGGGACGUCAGUUAGUGUCAAAACCGAUGUCAAUUGACGUUUGUUAAGGACUUUUGAUGUCAAAUUGACAUCUCCCAAUAAGACGUCGGUGUUAUGUUGUAUGUUGAAUUUCCAAAAUAAUAGACAUUAAAGGCCUUUUUUGAAGUAGAUGGGGGCCUUCUGCCUAGGUUAAUAGAAGGGUUUUUUCUUUCUUUCUUUUUUUUUGUUUUUUUGUUAGUCUUAUUGCCUCGAUUGUAGAUAGAACUAAUACCAUAAGGGUCAUACUGCCUCGAUAGUGAUAACAACUGAUGCCUAUUCUACAUGUUUUUUUUUUUAAGAAAAAAACAGGUUUGUUUUUGUAGCAAUCCCAACUACAGAAGCAGACCUAUAUAUUUCAAAAUUUUCCAGAAUAGUCUAGAAGCAUAUAUUCAAUAAAAAUUAUAAUAAAUCAUAAAUCAAUUCAAUGUACAUAAAAUUGUAAUCAUAAAUCAACUUAGAAGCAUAAAUCAAAAUCCAAUGUAAAAAUUUAACAUAAUCAUAAAUACUCUAAUGUAGAACUUACUAUAUCCUAAUAUCUACAUACUAUUAUAGAGUUGAAUUACAUAUUUUGUAAUUGCUUUCCUUAUGUGUUUAAGGGACUUCUCUGGAAUUGAAGUAGUGGAAUUGAAUCUCUACAUAAGACACAAUGAUUUCAAUUAGUGUAUAUGAAUUGUAAACUAUAGAGAAAUAAAUUCAAUAAAACCAAACAUUAUUGUUUCCUAACCACUUGUAACAUGGGCACGGGUAGUGUGGUCAUCAUCUAAUACAUGAUGUAGUAACCACACUCAUAUGACCUGCCUUUUCUAUUACACUUCAAUAUACUAUCAUAAUUAUAAAAUGUUAAGGAACAUCAUUGAAAUAGUACAAAAAGUAACAAAGUAUGGACUAAAAUACCAAACCUUAAGGGUCAACCAUGCAAGUUUUUACCUUUAGCAGUUCACCUCUCGGACAACAUCAUAUGUGCUACAAGAAAACUAUUAAAAAAAUGGCAUUAGAAUACAUUUAUAUUAGAAAGAAAGUCCAAACAUUGAGGUUCUUAACAAUCUACUACUUGUCUGAGAAGGUUGAGAGGAGACUUGUGCAAUGAAAAACACCAUACAGCAACGUUCUCCGUUAUGGAAACCACAAGUAGCUACCAAUGGUGCCUGGAAUUGGUAAUAACUUAAUUAUUAUAUACUAAAUUCACAAAUGAAGCUUUAGAACUAAAAUACUUCACUUACUUAACUAUAUAAGGGAUAAAAUAUAGCUUUUUCCCCAUUGUAAAACAACUGGUGAUGUAUGCUUGGAUGUAAUCAAAUUUAUUUCCUUUAUGAGUCAUUUGGAGAUUAAUGAACUCAUAUACAUCAUUGAACCCCAUCUUCUUAGUUACACCAAACAAAUACCUGAAAUCAAGAAAUGAUCUAGGCCAGGUGUCCAUAUCGAGGGGUAAAAAAUAGAGCCAACCAAAGAUUUAGGCCAGGCGAAAAAAUACUGAAAUGCUUGUGCCACAAUGACAAUCUCAUCUAUUGGCACAAGAACAAACACAUUUGGUACACAAUUUCAUCGGCUGUGACAUUCACCUCAUUUUCUCCUAGUUCUAUACCAUGAACUAGAGUAGAUGCCUUAAAAAUUGUGCCACGAGCCAUGAGUCUCGUCCAUGUCGUCUCCUAGGACGCCUUUUAGGUGAUCGACAAGUUUACCAGAUCGUAGCAAGUAAUAAUCCUGGUAAGAUAGGGCAUCGUUUCCUAAGAGACUCUCGGCACUAGACAGACGUGUGAUAACUAGAUUAAUUAAGACUUAAAAAGAACGAAAUCAUUGGUUUAAAAAUACAAUUAUAGAAAAUUAAAUAUGAACGCAGUUUUGAUCAAUUGAAGAGAAAGUAAAUGAAAGCAACUGAACUGAACUUGAAGCAACUGAUCUGGCUUUCAUUUACUUUUGAAGAAUAUUCGCUGAUUAUGGAUUUUGGGUGAUGCAUAUUUCCAUUUUGAAACAUGGCUUACAGCCAACAGGGUUACGUUUAGUUUUUAUGGAUUUUUGGGAUAAGCAUACUUUCUUUUUCUCUUAGAAUGAAGCACACACCGACACACACCUUUUGGAUUUAUUUUAUUUUGCUUUUAAAGAUCUUCGUAUUUAAAUUGAUUUAGCUUCAGCUUGGACCGAGACUCAUUUUAAUAUUAUUGAAUUUGGAAUUAUAUUCAGCAAUCUAGUUCAUUUUAUUUUACUGUUAGCCAUUUUUAAGUUCCCGUGAUGCAUUUGCUUAUUUCUCCAUGUGCAUUUGCGUUUGGAUAUUUAUCUAUUGCAUUGUUCAGUUAAUGUUUUCAUGCACUUUAAUGCUUUCAAUUAUGUUCGGUUGUGUUUAAUUUCCAUUUUAAUUUAGUCAACUGCAUUCACAAAACCUUUCACCACCACCCCCCCCACUAUGUGUUUGACCUAAGUCUCGAACAACAUUUGGUCCUUAAGAGACGACCUUGGAGUCACUUCCUAGCAUUAUACUGCAUUCUUUAAACACAUCAAAUUUGUAUGGGGUGCGACACCCAUCAUAUUAUUUUCUCCUUUACUCGUUGCUUGCUUUGUUUAACUCAUUCAUAGCAUGAUGUAUGAAUUGCAUGAGUAUCGGGAGAUAUCUUACAAUUCAGGUUCUACAGAAUCUCUCCCAAAAGCAGUUUUGCCUAGGGAUAAGGAUAUGAGUUUUGGUUGUCUUAAGCUAAUAAUCAUAAUGCAGAAUUAACUAUUAGGGAUGCAAGGGAUUAUGGUCUAGUAAUUAAGGAUGGACUUUCUUCGCUGAGGGGUCGGGUUUCAAGCAAAUUAGAUAGUGACAUUAACCUUAAUGAAGAAGAAGAAUUCUUAUAUGCAUGUGGAUUUUAAAAAAUGAUUUACAUACGGAUAUUUACCUACCAAUUUUUCUGUAUGUAAAAAUUGUAUGUAAUCGAAAAUAAAUUAGGUGAUAUUAUAUACGGAUUUUCAAAAUUAAUUAUUAUAAAAUAAAAAUAAUAUUUCAUUUUCAUUAUAUCACUCUUAUUCAUUCCCUUUCUACGUCCUCCUUCUCAGAUCCUUCUCUCUUACAUUCACUCACCUUAAUCACUCCUCUCGCGCUCACUCGCCUCUCUCGCACUCACUCCCUCUUGUUUACUUUCGCACUCACUACUUGUUCACCAUUACUCUAAUCUUCUUCUUCGCACUCAGUUCACUACUUUGUUCUUUCCAAGUUGAAAUUCCCCUUUUGACUAGUUUUUUCCAACUCCAAAACCCUAGUUUUGUUUCUUCCAACUCCAAUGGAGCUUCACUUCUCGAAGUCGACGGCGCCUUGAAAUUCCCUACAUAUCCAACAAAAAUGUUGACGAAGAUCUCAAACUUAUAAUCACUGUCGAUGACAAAGGACCGGUAGGGAAGAGAAUGAAGGACGCUAGGAUUUCCAAGGGGAAACCCUUGAUCAUGGAGAAGGUGAGGGUUUGGGUGCAGAGCAUGGCCAGAGGUAGUCUUAUUGAGGAUGAAUUGGAAAACAAGAAGUCAUCGCUAUUGGAAAAUAGGUAGGCUUCUUUUCUACACUAAGAGGGGGAGAGGGUGAAAUGGUGUUGUUUCAAAAAUAACUUCUUUUCGCAAUCUUGAAAACAAAGUACGAAACUUUUUAAACUUUCUUGAAAUGCAAGUAAUGAAAAUUUGUAAGCAGCGGAAAAACUUAGUUGACUGCGUGAAAAUUAAAGUCAACUAUAAUGUAAAAGAGAAAGGAUAGAGAAAAUCAAACACAGGUUUUUAUACUGGUUGGGCAACAAUGCCUACAUCCAGUGUCCUUCCACCCCAGGAAGCAAAUGCACUAUAAUGGUUGCAGUUUUUACAACAAGGAAUUUAUAGAAGACCUCCACGUAAAAAAUAUAAAUCUUCUCUCUAACUCAAAACCAAACUAUAGGCCGAAAACCAGCAAGACUGCAGCAAGAAUCCCCUCUUCUGCAAUCUGUUAACCACUUUGAACAAUCCUCAAAAUGAACUAUCCCCCUGUAUCACAACAGGUCCAAAACCAGCAGUCUUCACGGAUGCCAAGCCGAACAAUCAAUUCAGCAGUCUUCAAGGAUGGCAAGCCUAACGUGAUCAAACGCAGAACACCUUCUUUGUGCAGAUGUUGAUCAACCAAUGCAUGCGCAGAAAAUAUCCCUUAAGAAUCUCGUUCAAGACAGAUCACCACCGUCUUCUUGGAGAAUUCUUGGAGCUCAGAGAAUUCAAUCUGAAACAAAAAUGAAAUUCUUAGAUCAUCAAAAGUCUUCUGAACAAAUCGUGUUCAGCCUAUUUAUAGAUUUCUGUUAAUUAGACACAUUCUUAGUCGAAUAUGCUACUAAUACAGUCGACUGAAUUAUGAUAGUUAUAACAGAACAGUCAAUCAGGUAACAUACAAUCAACCAAAAACAAAACACAUUUAAGACUAAGUCAUCAAUGCUCAACUAACUUUUAAAAAUAUAGUCAUUAGAGCGCAAGAGCAUAACGAAAUUUCAAAUCAGACAACAGAUACAGUCGAAUGUGUGGCGCACAUAGUCGACUAUCAACAUGUAAAACAUUUUGAAAUUCUUUUCUUCUCAAAAUAUCACACAGCACUAAUUCUCAAAAUCUGUACAAGGAUUUUAGCAUAGUUGAAUUCACUAGUAAUGUAUUCGAGUUCACUAUAACUUUGUCGCACAAUAAUAAGUUCAUAAAAGUGCUUGUGGUUUCCAACUUUGAAACAUGUGCAGUAAAACAUUUGUAAUGAUGCAUUUGCACAUAGCACAUAAAGCAUAUAAAGAUGUUCCAGAUAUAUAUAUAUAUCAAUCAAUCAACAUAGGAACAUGUAACACAAUUCAUAAACAUGUUCAACAGAUAUCACAAUAAAUCAGCAUAAGAACAUGUAAUGCAGUAACAACAUGUGCUUUUUAUUAAGCAGUGUCUUGUCAUCAUCAAAAACUAGAUUGAUAUAGAAAUUGUGUUGUCAACAAUCUCAACAAUCUGCCCCUUUUUUGAUAAUGCACAACCAUGAUUAAUAACGAACCAUGUUUGCACAUUUCAAUACAACACAGAGUAACAAAAGAUAUAUUACAGUUAGAACAUUUAAGUACUCUGCAUGUAACACAAUUAAAAAACAACAAAUAUCAAGCAGAAUAUGAAAUAGAAUAUAACAAUACUCCCCCUUUCAUAAAGCUUUCAUAAAUCUCUCCCCCUUUGGGCAUUAGCAAAAAAGGUAUGCUCAAGAUCUUUUGCUGAUAAACAAACAGAGAUGCAUCAAGAAGUAUAUGCAAUUAUCAAUAUGCAAUGAUGCUCUCUCUAUCGCAUUUAAUCACAUGUAAAUGAUAACUUCCCCUGGAAUGCAGGCAUGUAAGUGAAAAAUGUGUAAAAUGUAAUACUCCCCAUAUCAUUAUGCAUAGAUAUUAGAACCUGCUUAGAUGGACAAUGCAGUGUAUCACAUAUUAUAUAAGCAGUACGCACAAAGUUGUAUCAAAGACAGGAUAGCAAACAGUUUAGUCAUGCAAUGAUACAAUCAACAAUCUCACAAUAUUAUCUCAAAUAUGAUAUGUAAAAAUCAAUUUAUAUCAGAGAUAAUAGCAGAUAUCAAGAAUAAGCAAUCAAUGAAAGAAUAACCAAAUUCUAGAAUUGGAAUUUAUAACCCUGUUAUGAACAGUCGAUUACAUAAUUUUCCCAAUCGAAUGCAUUGCGUUCCAACAUUGUUGAAAUCCACUUGAAGUUCCAAAAGCAAUGUUCUUCCUGCAAAACCUUUCAAAGAUCUUUCCCAGAUCAAGCAUUUUAGUUAAGCAAGAAAUAUAAUCAUGAAUAAUAGAAGUCAAUAUGUAAAGAUAUAUAACAGUUCAAGCAUAGUUGACUUCAAUCAAAUUUCAGUCGAAUCAAUUUACAUUCAGCAUAUCAGAUUCAAUUAAUCAAGUAAAAGCAACUGAAUUAGAUUCAAAAUAAAUUUCAUUUCAUUUCUUUGAGAAGGAUAUUACAAUGAUGAGACUCGAUCAAGGAACAAAAGAUGCAAAAGAUGGCAUUAUAAGCCAUACAAAACAGAAAAUAAACAAAGAGUAACCUAUGACUUUAGACUCUACACGGUAAACAGAACUUUAUUCUGAUUCAGAGAUUUUAGUAGUGCUUUCUUCAUGAUAAUGGUCAUUCUUACCAUUAUCUGUGGUACAAUUUUCUUACCAAAUCAACUCUCUUGAAGCUUGAAACAUGCUUAAUCCUUCCUUUUAUCUAACUUUUUGAAUAGGUUUAGUAUUGGUUACACAUACAAGUUUUCAUCAUUAAUUCUCAAGUUUUGUAGGAAAUUUGAGUGCUUUGGAAGAGCAUCCAAACUACCAAGAAUGGGAGUCCAAGAAGAGCUACAAAAGCAAGCAGAUCUGCAGAAAAGGAGAAAAAGAUGCAUUGUAGAAAAAUCAGGCUCGGGCGCCCCAGAAAGGGGUUGGGCGCCCUUUCCUGCUGUUUCACCUCAAAAUAUGGCGCAUGGGCGCCCUAGAAAGGGGUUGGGCGCCCUUUCCUGCUGUUUCACCUCAAAAUAUGGCGCAUGGGCGCCCUAGAAAGGGGUUGGGCGCCCUUUCCUGCUGUUUCACCUCAAAAUAUGGCGCAUGGGCGCCCUAGAAAGGGGUUGGGCGCCCUUUCAUGCUGUUACACCGCAAAAUAUGGCGCCGAGGCGCCCCUAAAGGGGGCUGGGCGCCCUUUAAUGUUGUGUUUUCAUUUAAUUUUGGCGCCUGGGGGCCCCAGAAAAGGGGGUUGGGCGCGACUUUUUGCUGACUUGGCACCCUAGACCUAUAAAAGGCUCACAUGCAACGAGAGUGUCAUCUUCUUGGUGGUUGAAGCUCGAAAACAACCCUUUAGACUUGUGGGAGCCGAUUUUAGGCAGUGGGAACUCUCAUUUCUCCUUCCUUGGAUCUUCAUCUUCUCCAUUUUCUUCUAUUGUAAGCUUAAGCUCUCCAUGACUAUGGAGAGCUAAGUUCUUUUUUUUGGGGAAUGAUGUAAACUAUAAAACUCACUUGUAAAUGCACUUGGUUUAAAUGAAAAUAUGCUUCUUUCAUUACUUGGUAAUGUUUAUUUCCUUUGCUUAAAGCUUGUUAUUACUUGAUCAACCAUAACAUGAUUUUAGGGUUUGCUUAAUGUUGGGAAAUGUUGUGUGAACCUUGAAAUGGACUAAACACCUAAAGGAAAUAGUGUCUAGGAUAGAGCUAGGACCUUUGGUUUUCUUAAACUUCUUUUCUUAAUGCAGAUGAACUUGUUAGGUUGCCAAGGGAUUGAGAUUUAAUAAGUGAAUCUAGGCUUUCUCACUAAGGGAUUAGGUUUAAGUAACUUAGUAAGUUGACAAGAGCAAUUAAAUGAAGAAGUGGUUAUGUGCAUUUGCAUAGGAGUGUAAUAGUGGAAAUCAUUCUCCAACAUAUCCAUUCCAUAUCAUCUUCAAUUAUUUCAUUCUCAAGUGUUUUAACCCCAAGAAGUUCACUUUAUCAUUUAUGCAUUAUGUUUAUUUUCAUUGCACAAAUUCACAUUAAAGGGAACCAUUCUUUAGCCUAAGUUAGUUAGAUAAUUAUACGAUAGUAAAGUGUUGACUGAGUCUCUUAGGAUACGAUAUCCAGUCUUACUGGUUUAUUACUUAAAACGAUUUGGUACACUUGCCAAAGAGUUAACAAGUUUUUGGCGCCGUUGGCGGGGACUCGGUGUAAUCACUUUACUUUUGUGUGAUUUCUAACCCAUUUAGGCAUUAUUCGUAUAUUUUUUUUACUGUGAAUAAUCUUUGUUUUCAUUAUUUGUGGGCUAACUUGGUGCUCUAGUACUAUUGUCUCUAGUGUAUGUAGGGCACAAUCCGUACUAGAAGCACACCAUCUUCUCAACCUCUCCUCUUAGAUCCUAUAAUUAAAAAGACUGCCCGAAGAAACAAUAGUAGAAGAAGAAGAAGAAGAGAGAAUCGGGCAUCUAGAGAAACUUCUCCCAUUCUUGUGAUUACUGAGCAACCCAUCUUACCUGCAGCUGAUCAAGAAGUUGAAGAUAUGGCUGACAAUCGGAAUGAUAAUGGUGAUGGGCAAGUGAGACGCACAUUGGAGGACUACUCCGCUUUUUCAGGGUUGCUUCAUUUCAAUAGCAUUGCACGACCACGGGUCAAUGCCCCAAACAUGAAGAUGAAGCCUGCUCUCAUUCAUCUUGUGCAGAGUAAUAAGUUCCAUGGUCUAUCACAUGAGAACCCAUUCAAUCACAUAACCAGCUUCAUUGAGAUAUGUAACACGGUUAAGCUCCAAGAUGUAUGUGAUGAAGCUGUAAGGCUCAACCUAUUUCCAUUCUCAUUGGGACGCAACACCAAGGCGUGGCUCAAUUCCUUUCCUGAAAAUAGCUUCACAUCAUGGCAAGAGGUGGUGGCAAAAUUUUGCAACAAAUACUUCCCUCAGUCCAAAGUUAACAAAGGGAAGUAGGAAAUCUCAUCUUUCCAGCAGGAUUUUAGUGAGACAUUGAGUCAAGCCUUGGAUAGAUUCAAGGGGCUACUGAGGAAGACAUCCAUUCAUGGGUUUAAUGAGCCGACUGUCCUGAACAUGUUCUUGGGAGGAUUGAGAUCCCAAACCAAUUUGAUGUUGGAUGCCUCAGUUGGAGGAAACAUACGUUGGAAGACCCCAGGAGAAGCCCAUGAGCUCAUUGAGAACAUGGCUGCAAAUGAUAGUGAAUUGCAGAAUGAAAGGGGGCAACAAAAAGGUGUCUUGCAACUACAGUCUCAGGAUGCCAUCUUGGCACAAAAUAAGAUAAUGACCCAACAGCUUGACAUUCUCAUGAACAAAGGCUCUCAGUUGCAAGGGCUCCAAAAUGUGUCACACGCCCAACAUCUAGGGUUUGAGUUAUGUGGUGGAGAACAUGCAAAUGGUUAGUGUGUUAAACAGGCCAAUACCUAAGAAGAUGUGAAUUAUAUGGGUAAUCAAAACCGACAAAGUAACUACAAUUAAGGUUUGAGACCACACCCAAGCAUGGGCCAAGGACAAGUUGGGCCAUCAAAUAGACCACCACAACAAAAAUAUCAACCACACCCCUCUCUAUCAGAGAGAACUUCUAAGUUGGAGGACACUCUUUAACAAUUCAUGCAAGUCUCCAUAUCCAACCAUAAGAGUGUAGAAGCUUCCAUCAGGAACUUGGAGAUCCAAGUGGGCCAACUGGUCAAGAAGCUUGAAGAGAAGUCUGAUAAGAGUUUUGGAGCUAAAACUGAGACAAAUCCAAAGGAAGAGUGCAAAGUCAUCACUACUAGAAGUGGUAAGGUGUUAGUUGAGAAGGAGAGAGAGGAAAAAGAUAAAAGAGCUGAGGAGAUGGAAAAAGAAAAGAGUGGAGAGAAAAAUAAUGAGAAAGAGAAUGAGGAGAGAAAAGUAGAGGAUGAGAGUAAAAAAAUGAGAGUGUGAGAGAGGAGAAAAAGAAAGAGGGAGUUGAGAAAAAGAAAGAAAGGGAGAAACCUCUUCCUUACCCUAAAGUCUUCUCAAGAAGGGAGAAAGAGAAGCAAUUUGGGCGCUUCAUGGAUGUCUUCAAGAAAAUGGAGAUUACUAUGCCCUUGACCGAAGCACUGCAACAAAUUCCCUCUUAUGCAAAACACUUGAAACAGUUUCUCAAUAACAAAAAGAAGUAUUUAGAGGAAGGAACAAUUGAAGUUCAAGGGAAUUGUAGUGCCAUUAUGCAGAAGAAUCUACCUCCAAAAUUCAAAGAUUUGGGGAGUUUCGCCAUCCCUUGCACCAUUGGGAAUCAUGAGAUAGGGAAGGCGCUUGUUGAUUUAGGGGCUAGCAUCAAUCUGAUGCCCCUAUCCAUGCUCCAGAAGAUUGGUGGUCUGGAAGUCAAUGUUGAGAAACAGGUAGGCUUCGUUUUACACCAAGAGGGGAGGGGGUGGGUGAAUUAGUGUUUGUUCAAAAACAAAAUCUUUUCGCAAUCUUUAUACAAAAGUGAAAAGCUUUUUGAUCUUUCUUGAAAUGCAAGUAAUGAAAAUUUAAUGCAGCGGAAAAACGCAGUUGACUGCUAAACAAACAAAGUCAACUGGAAAUAAAGAGUGCAAGGAUAGAGAAAAUCAAACACUGGAUUUGAUAAUGGUUCGGCCAAUAAUGCCUACAUCCAGUGUCCUCCCAACCCAAGAAGAAAAUGCACUAUAAUGGUUGCGGUUUUUACAACUUGUGUUCUGUCUAUUUAUAGUUUUCUGUUAAAACUAAUUGCUUCUCAGUCGAAUAGCCUAUUAAUACAUUCAACUGUAUUAAAACAGUUAUAACAGACAAUCAAAACAUAGGCUCUCAGUCAACAAAAAACAACACACAUUUGUUACAGUUGACCAAGUCAUCAAUGCUUAACUAACUUUUGUAAAAUAUAGCCAUUGGAGCGUGUAAGCAUAACAGAAUUCAAAGCAAAUCAAUAACACAGUUGAAUAUGCAAUAUACAAUGUCGACUGACACAUGAAAAAACACUUUGAAAUUCUUUUCAACUCAAAAUCUCACAUAGCACAGGUUCACAAAAUUUGUACAAAGAUUUUAGAACAGUUGAAUCCAUUAUAGGUGUAUUCGACUGGACUAGAACUUUGUCACAACAAAUAUAAGUUCAUAAAGGUGUUUGUGAUCUUUUACAUCCAAAAAUGUGAAAUAAAAUGUUUUCAAUCAAUCCGUUCAUAUUCCACAUAUUCAUACAAGCAUGUUCCACAAAUAUAUCACACAAUCAAUCAUAGGAACAUACAUCACAGUACAUCAAAACAUGUUCAGCAGAUAAGACAAUUUAUUCAGAAUACGAACAUGUAAUGCAACAACAUGUGUAUUGUUAUUAAGCAUUGUGUUUUCAUCAUCAAAAACUAGUUUGAUAUAGAGUUUGUGUUGUCAACAAUCUCAAAAAUCAAGUCUACAAAAAUGAUUUUGCAAAUGGCAGAUAGAUCCAUCACGCAUCCCUAUGGUGUGGUAGAAGACGUGUUGGUUGAAAUUGAUAAACUCCAUUUCUCGGUGAACUUUGUAGUUAUGGAAAUGGGGGAAGAUACAAAAAUACCUCUCAUUCUUGGAAGACCUUUUAUGAAGACGACCAAGGUUGUCAUUCAUGUUGAUAAGGGAACUGUACAAUUGAGAAACCAAGAUGAUGAGGUCAAUUUCAAUGUCUCCGAUGCUAGGCAGCAAAAUCAAGAAGAAAAGACUAAUCCUAAAGCUAAGAAUGAAGUUCUAUCAGUGAUUAGUCUAAUAGGGCAAGUUGUCAAAGUGGUCAACAAGAGGGUUAAUUGUUUCUCUCCAAAAGUGAAGGAUGAGGAUGGAGACAAAGAAGAGAAACUUGUUCAUCAACACUCCAUUGUGGAAAGUGAUGAACCCAAACCUGGCAAACCAGUGAAGCUCAAGAACAGGUUAUGGGUUAUCAAGGCGAUAAAGGCAAAUAAAGUACUUGAAAUUGAGGCUCCUACUCAAGGAGAGUCAAGUUGGUGACAAGAAAAUUGUUGAGAUUAUGUUGGUGUCAUGAAAGGAAGAAACACACCAACAUUAAAAGUCAAACUUGAGCAUAAUGGUAUCAAGCUAAUGACGUUAAAUAAUCGCUUCCUGAGAGGCAACCAAGUUUUCUAUGCCUUCUCUUGUGUUAUUUUGUUAUUUUGGUGUGUUUUGAUUGUUUCAAUUUGGUUUGAUGUGUUUUAUGUGCAAUUUAGUUGUUUUAGAAAGUGUGUUUUUGAUUUGAAGUUAUGUGAUUUUCACCUUAAGUUAGUAGUUGUAACUAAUUGCAUUGGUGUAGUAUUGAGUGUUGUGUUAAAUUGCUGUGAAUAGGUGUAGCUCAAUUGGUUUAGUUGUGUUCUGGUGUGUUUAAGUUUGUGUUGUCUUGAUUUGGAAGUUUAGGUAUGCCUUAUGUGUCAAAAGUAAGUCUUGAGUUGGAGAGUUGGAAAGUCUUGGAAGUGGGCAUGUGAUUUGUGAUUCUUGCACUCAAUUUCACUCCUUAUGGAUUUGAGCAAGUUUGUUUAGUGAAAAUAUAUGAAUCUGGACUAAAUUAAGUGUUUAGAAGUGUCAAUAAUCAAAAGUCAAAGUUGAGUUGGACCAAAAUGCAAAGCUGCAGAAUUUGCUGCAAAAUUGGCGCUCGAGCCCUUAGGGGGCGCCCAAGCGCCAUCUGCUGAUCCUAUUUUCUCUAGCGUGGUGCUUUUUCACACUCGAGCCCCCCCCCCCCCCCUCUAGGGGCGCUCGGGCUUGAGAUUUGCACAUAGAAAUUGAAAUUUUGAGCUUUUGGUGCAUAGCAUUUGUCUUGGCUCGCCCUCUUUCACACACCUCUUUUAGUGUGUUUUUAAACUUUUUUGUGUUGUUGUACCUUUGGGGGGGCAUAAUUUUAAACCUUCCCUCUAUGUUUUUGUAGUUUUGUGAUUGUAUGUUGAAUGAUUGAAGGUGUUUUUGUGAUGUGUGUUUUAGUUUGAUUUUCUUUGAGUGUUUAAGUCUAUUUCAUAAUUGUUUAGUUGUUUUAGUCUAUUGUUAGAGUGAUUGGGGUAUGUUCAUGUGUCUUUGUUUGUCUUAGUAUGUUUUAGUGUGUUUUUGGACCUUUGUCUUUUGUUGUUGACUAUGGGAUGCUAAAUCUACUUUAAGCUUUCUUUGUGCAGGACAAUAUCUUCCUUAGGAUUUUGAAAGUGUCGAAAUCACCGAUGGUCAACCUUUGAGGCAUGUGUGAGCUGAGCACCCUAUUACUUCAAGAUUUUGCUGCUCGUAUAGCAUGGCCUGGGGGCCAGGCCCUUACUGAUGGGGGAGGUGGAACAAUUGCGGAGUAUAAGCUGCUUUGAGGAGGAAGAUGUGUCAGAUGAAAGUGAAGUUAGUGUUCCAUGGGAGCUGCUGGAGCUGCAAAGUGUCCAACUUGAUUGGUUUUUCAAUUUUAAUUUCUCGUUUUUUGUUGCUUUUAGUUUUUCUAAUUCUAGUUUUGUUGUUGCUUUUAAUAUUGAACUUGGCUAACUAGAUAGUUUUGUUGCAAUGGUUUGGUCUCAAGUAAUUAUGUUUUGGGCUUUGUUUGAAUUAAAAUCUCUUGUGUUUGCUCUUAUUCUUUGUGAUUGAUUUUGAAAAAUUGUUGAGCUGAUGUUGGUUAAGCUCUUAAGCAUAGAUGGUGGUUGCUCAUAUGUGUUUGGACAAUGAAAUGUCUUGAUUGUGGUCAACAUUCUUGGCAAUUUGUUUGAUAGAUUUUGGAACUGUUAGUUAACCUGUGAGUUGUUGUGCCUCAGAAUUAUUGUUGAAUGCUAUCACGUUGAAUCACAAGUGACUUUACCUGAGUUUCUUCUUUUGAACUAUUCACUUGCUUGUUAUAAAUGAUCAGGGCCAUUUUUUCUUUUUCCUCUUCUACAUUUUGAGCCAAAUAAGCCAAUGCCAUCCCUUUGAACCCCAAAAGAAAAAGAAAUUUCUCAUCCCUUGAACCUUGAGCUUGAUGUGAAAAAUCCUUGACCUCCUUACCUUGAGUUAAGCAGAGCUUUCAUUUCUGGUAUAGGAGAAUGGUUUAAGUUUGGGGUAGUUUGGCAUAUCAUGUUAUAAAAGAGCACUGAAAAAAAAGAAGAAGAAAGAAGAACAAGAUCAAGAUCGAGAAAAAGAAUUCAAUGAAUGAAAGUUGGAAAAUGAGUUGAGAAUUGGUUUUAGUUGUUAGAAGCAAGAAAGAGAAUAAUGUUAUCCUGCUUUGAUUUGUUUGCUCUUUUAACUCAAGGUGCCUUGUAUCCAGAAAAAAAAAACAAUUUUUCUUCUUAACCCAACCACAAUUCUAGCCUCAAAAUAUCCUUGUGAUGAUAACUUGCAUGUGAAUGUGUUUAACAUGGAGUGAAAUGAAAGGCAAAGUUGAUUUGUGUGACAUUGUGGUGGUGGAGUGAAAACAACGCACCUCAUGAUACACCAUUGAGCUUGAGUGAAACACUUUUUCUGGUGAGGAAAGGUUCCAUGCAUUUCAGGAAAACAUUUUUCCAUGUUUGUUGAUCCCUUAUAAAGCCUUUGCAUCUGUCUUGUGAUCUUUGUUCUGUGAGCACCAUAGUUUAAGCUUGAUUUUCCGACUGCAUUAUCUCUUGCUUCGUCUUUCCACGAAGAGCAAACAUGUUUGAUUUACUUGUUUGAUUAAAAUUUCCUUCUUGAGUUGCUAGACCGUUGUAUGUGGGUUGUUUUGUCUAAGCCAAGUUCCUUUUUUGCUUGAGGACAAGCAAAGUUUCAAGUUUAGGGUUGUUGACAAUGGUAAUUCUUACCAUUAUUUGUGGUACAAUUUUCUUACCAAAUCAACUCUCUUGAAGCUUGAAACAUGCUUAAUCCUCUCUUUUUUCUAACUUUUUGUAUAAGUUUAGCAAGGUUACACAUAAAAGUUUUCAUCAUUAAUUCUCAAGUUUUGUAGGAAAUUUGAGUUCUUUGGAAGAGCAUCCAAACUAUCAAGAAUGGGAGUCCACGAAGAUCUACAAGUGCAAGCAGAUCUGCAGAAAAAGAGAAAAAGAUGCAGUGCAGAAAAAUCAGACCUGGGCCCCCCAAAAGGGGGCUGGGGUGCCACAGAAGGGGGUUGGGCACCCCAGAAGGGGGCUGGGCGCCCUUUCAUGCUGUUUCACUGCAAAAUAUGGCACCUGAGCACCCCUGAAGGGAGUUGGGCGCCCUUUGAUGUUGUGUUUUCAUUUAAUUUUGGUGCCCGGGCACCCCAAAAAAGGGGGCUAGGCGCAACUUUUUGCUGACUUGACACCCUAGACCUAUAAAAGGCUCACAUGCAACAAGGGUGCCAUCUUCUUGGCGGCUGAAGCUCGAAAACAACCCUUUGGACCUGUGGGAGCUGAUUUUGGGCAGUGGGAACUCUCAUUUCUCCUUCCUUGGGACUUCAUUUUCUCCUUUUUCUUCCAUUGUAAGCUCAAGCUCUCCAUGACUAUAAAAAGCUAAGUUCUUUUUGUUGGGGAAUGAUGUAAACUGUAAAACUCACUUGUAAAUGCACUUGGUUUAAAUGAAAAUAUGCUUCUUUCAUUACUUGCUAGUGUUUAUUUCCUUUGCUUAAAGCUUGUUAUGACUUGAUCAACCAUAGCAUGAUUUUAGGGUUUGCUUAAUGUUGGGAAAUGUUGUAUGAACCUUGAAUUGGACUAAACACCUAAAGGAAAUAGUGUCUAGGGAUAGAGCUAGAAACUUUGGUUGUCUUAAACUUCUUAGGUUGCCAAGGGAUUGAGAUUUAAUAAGUGAAUCUAGGCUUUCUCACCAAGGGAUUGGGUUUAAGUAACUGAUAACGGUUGAAAAAUAGUUAUUUUCAUAUGUCAAUUUAGACCAAAUUACACCCUUUAAGACUUAGAACGAGCUUAGAAUCAAGUAAAACUCAAUAAAUGAGUCAGUCGAGAGUCAAAAGUUGUUUUUAGCGAUAUUAUGCUUGUUUUGCAUUGUUUUGUAGUGAUUUUGAUGAAAGUGAAGAUUGGGGUUGAAGAUGAAGGUCUUAGACUCAAGAUAGAGGAAGAAAAUUGUAGAAAAGAAGAGUCAAGAAACUGCCUGGCGGCAAAAUUCACCGUUGGGCGGUCCAAGGCGAGGAGAAGGCACCUGGCGAUUAGAGGCAAACCGUCGGGGCGGUGGCCCCCUACCGUCGGGCAAUGGCGCGAUUAGGGGCAAACCGCCGGGCGGCAUAAGUGUGUCAUCGGGCGGUUGUCCGCUGGGCCUAGGCCUGUUUCCUGUGACGCUCCUCAGCUAUAAAUAGCCUGUUACGAUUUCAUUCUCAUUCUUUUGACAGAAGAGGGCGGCCAGACCUAAUUUUCACUNNNNNNNNNNNNNNNNNNNNNNNNNNNNNNNNNNNNNNNNNNNNNNNNNNNNNNNNNNNNNNNNNNNNNNNNNNNNNNNNNNNNNNNNNNNNNNNNNNNNNNNNNNNNNNNNNNNNNNNNNNNNNNNNNNNNNNNNNNNNNNNNNNNNNNNNNNNNNNNNNNNNNCUUUUAUUGAAACUCUUGUUUAUUUAUAUGAUUCUUCAUAUGCUUUGAUUAUCAAUUGUUGGGUUCUCAUUUGCACUUAAUGCUUUUAUCGUUUAACUCAUUCGAUAACUGUUGUUUGUCUCUAUUGAUACGGGAACCUACAGUACUGUCAUGAACGGGUGAGAAAUUCCUUGAUUAAGCAAUACCAACCUAGGGAUAGGGGGUAGGACAAGCAAUUGUUUUUGCUUCUGUUCUUAAUGCAUUAUUAAUUGCUAGGGGAGGCUAGGGAUAGACAGCCGAUAAUUAGUAAUAGGCUCUUCUCGUCGAGGGAUCGGGUUAAGGGUAGGCCAAGAAAGUUUGCAUAACAAUGAGAUAAUCAAGCACAUUAAACAAGAGGAGUAGAUAAGAGGGAGUGAAUAAGAUGAAAUUGUAAAACCCCAACAACUCCAUUCAUCCAUAGUCUCUUUCGUCAACUGAACCAACUACAUUGCAUGUUUAUUUUCUGUCUUUGCAUCCACAACAAUUAAUUCUUUCUCUACAAGUCUUAUGAUUUUAAUUCACACGAACGAUCCUUUCGAGUCUCUUGGGAAGAACGAUAUCGGGCUUUACCGAUUAUAUUACUUGCACGAUCUGGUACACUUGCCAGUGAGUCAACAGUAACUUAGUAAGUUGACAAGAACAAUUAAACGAAGAAGUAGUUAUGUGCAUUCGCAUAGGAGUGUAAUAGUUGAAAUCAUUCUCCAACAUAUCCAUUCCAUAUCAUCUUUAAUCAUUUCAUUCUCAAGUGUUUUAACCCCAAGAAGUUCACUUUAUCAUUUAUGCAUUAUGUUCAUUUUCAUUGCACAAAUUCACAUUAAAGGGAACCAUUCUUUAGCCUAAGUUAGUUAGAUAAUAAUACGAUAGUAAAGUGUUGACUGAGUCUCUUGGGAUACGAUAUCCGGUCUUACUGGUUUAUUACUUAAAACGAUUUGGUACACUUGCCAAAAAGUUAACACUUCACUUAUACCAUCAACAUCUUCCCUUUCAAAUUUUUCUGAUGAUUAUGAGAUCUCAAUAAAAUGUUUGAAUAAGAUAUUCAUCUUCUCAUUUAGAGUUGACAGUGACUUAUUUAAGUCACGUACCCUUUUGGAAGUCCUCUUAAACCUGUCUUCCACACGAUUUUAAAAUUCAGAUUUAGGUGAAGCAAACUCUUGAUCACUGUCAUGAUCCACUGAUGUAUCUUUUCCUUUUAAAGAAUUUUCUUCAUCCCUGAAAAUCCAACCGUGAGUUGUCCUCUUCAUUCCAAUGCAAGUUAGAGUGGCUUUUCCAAUAAUGGGUCCUUUGCUGCAAGUGAGUUUGUUUUCUCCAGUGAGGUAUACACCACUUUGUUCUAGUACUUUGCUUAUGAGUACACCAUAUGGAAGCCUAUGCCAGUCAUUUGUUCCCACUUCAAGAAUAUGUCUUUUAAAAAUAGCAACCCAGUUUGUUGGUAUCUUUUGUACAAUGGCAUAUAGUAGGCAAACAUCCAUAGGAGUUACCUUAAUAAGAUUGCACCUUCCAGGCAAGAGAACAUGUCUAAUGAAGAAUGCGAUAACCUUUUCUUCUUUGUCAAGCCAUUUAAACAAAAAUCCUUUUUCCUUAUUAUAUUUUUUGCGAUAUCUCAUAAAAUUCUUGAACAUCUUAGUUUUCCUUAACAGCUUGUUGUGAGGACAGUCAAAUAGAUGAGAAAAAUUUCCAGCGUUUUUCAACCCAGUAAUCUUCCACCAUGUGUCAUUGUUAAUGAUGAUGUCCACACCUUUUACACGAGAGUGGAUAUUUCAUCGACUUCUUUAACAUUGUGAAAGAAAACUUCUACUAAAUCAUAAUAGCAAUCACCCUUCAUUUGAAUAAACUUGUCCAGACCUUGAAAAUGAAGUAUCUCAGGAAAUGCAAAUUUCUCUUGUGUGAAUAGAGUCAGUUCAGCAAUUUCAUGUCUGACAACCUUUUUGAAUUUUCUCAUAUUCAGGAAUCUUUCUCUGGUGUUGUUAUCACUGAUCCAUCCAGAAGGAUUUGUUUCUCUUCUUACUACCAUAUGUCUCUUUCUAGGUCUUGAUGAUGAAGCAACCAUUUUCAAAGAAUGAGAAAAAGGUCUAUCUUGAAUCAGAAUAAGGGUUUUGUUUAUCUCUGUGUUUGAGUGCAAUAGACUAACACAACCAUAUAUAGAGAGACGCACCAAAGAUUUUCAUUCAACCCUCAAGUUUAAAUCCUAACGUUCAAAAAAAUGGAGUUUUAAAAACAUAUGCAAAACAUAAUCGAAUGAAUUAAUAACAUAGUCGACUAAGACACAUGAAAACAGAAUUUCAAAUCUUCUAGUAUUGGUUCUCUUAGAUUGAGCUUUGUAACCUAUUCCUUGCCUGUAUAUAGCUCUGCCAAAUGAUUUUAAUAUAGCAUUUAAAUUGUCUUAAGUAAAUUUAGCUAGCGUACUAGUCAAGUAAUUUAUCUUUUCAAUAUGACCAGAACAAUUUUCACAAGCUUUUUCUAGUGUAACAGUUUCAAUCUUAACAUUCUUAGCAGAUGACAAAGCUUCAUUUAACUCAUUUUCAGCAACAAGGUUGUUAAUUCUAUACUCAUAACCUCUUCUUUCAGAGUUUAGUCGAUUAACCUUGUAUUGUAGUUUAGUCGAUGCGAUUCUUUAAAAGCAUCUUGCAGCAGAUCAUACUUGAUUUCCACUGGUUCAUUUGAGAUGUCUGCAUCACUAUCAUAAUCUUCCCAUGUUACUCCAGUCAUGUAGUAGACGUUGGAUUCCUCCUUUUGAUCAGCAUCUUCAUCACUUGAGCUUUCAGAUUUUGUAUCCUCCCAAGCAAUGUAUGCUCCUUUUCUUUUCAUAUUUUGCCUAGAGGGAAUCUUUUCUUUUCUUUCUGCUUAGGCUUUAAUUCAGGACAAUCAGGCUUGAUGUGUCCUUCCUUUCACAUUCAUAACACUGGACGACAUAUUUACUGAAUCUAUUCUUUUUGCCUUGACCUGCAUGGUUAGUCAGUUGACUAUCAUUUUGAAUAACUCGACUAAAUUUCCUUACCAAUCAAGGUCAUCAAUUCUUUCUCGUCCAUGUUUGUUUCAGAGUUGUUCCUGCUUGUAGCUUUUAGAGCAAUGGACUUCUUUUCUUCAAUCUCCUCUUCAUCCUUCAAUCUACCCAGUUCCAGUUCAUGUUCACGUAACUUGCCAAACAAGGUAGCCAUGUUCAUCGUUGUGAGAUCUUUGGAUUCAGAUAUUGCUGUGACUUUUGGUUGCCAAUCUUUGUUCAACUGUGAGAUCUUGAUAUUGAUCUCUUCUUUAUUCUUAGCCUUCUUGACAUCAACUGGACAACUUUGUUCAUCCUUCCUUUUCAGAAACCUUGAAUUUAUUAUCCAACAAGAUUGAUCUUUGCAUUUCUGAACAAGAUUCUUCAUUUCGAGUUUCCUUGUAUUCCAAGUUUCCUGUUUCAAAAUAUUCAUAGAAACCAUCAGUUACAAACUUUGACUUCUUAUUGCAAGGUGUAGAUACAAAGUCAAUUUUGAAAUCAUAAGUCCUUUUUGAAUGCGAAACAUAAGCCAUCCCCAGGUUUAUAGUCGAAUAAAAGAAAAACAGAGUCGACUAGUUUUUCAAAUAUCUUAUGAAAACCAGCUUUAGUGCCAAUUGUUGGAAAACAGGUAGGCUUCUUUUCUACGACAAGAGGGGGGUGAAUUGGUCUUGUUUCAAAAAUAACUUCUUUUCGCAAUCUUGAAAACAAAGUAUGAAACUUUUUAAACUUUCUUGAAAUGUAAGUAUUGAAAAUUUGUAAGCAACAGAAAAACUUAGUUGACUGCGUGAAAAUUAAAGUCGACUGUAAUGUAAAAGAGAAAGGAUAGAGAAAAUCAAACACAGGUUUUUAUACUGGUUCGGCCAACAAUGCCUACAUCCAGUGUCCUUCCACCCCAUGAAGCAAAUGCACUAUAAUGGUUGCGGUUUUUACAAUAAGGAAUUUAUAGAAGACCUCCAUGUCAAAAAUAUAAAUCUCCUAUCUAACCCAAAACCAAACUAUAGGCAAAAAACCAACAAGACUUGCAGCAAGAAUCCCCUAUUCUGCAAUCUGCUAACCACUCUGAACAAUCCUCAGAAUGAACUAUCCCCCUGUAUCAUAACAGGUCCAAAACCACCAGUCUUCACGAAUGCCAAGCCGAACAAUCAAUUCAGCAGUCUUCAAGGAUGCCAAGCCUGACGUGAUCAAACGCAAAACACCUUCUUUGUGCAGAUGUUGAUCAACCAAUGUAUGCACAGAAAAUAUCCCUUAAGAAUCUCGUUCAAGAAAGAUCACCACCGUCUUCUUGGAGAAUUCUUGGAGCUUAGAGAAUUCAAUCUGAAAUUGAAAUGAAAUUGUUAGAUCAUCAAAAUUCUUCUGAACAAAUCGUGUUCAGCCUAUUUAUAGAUUUCUAUUAAUUAGACACAUUCUGAGUCGAAUAUGCUACUAAUACAGUCGACUGAAUUAUGACAGUUAUAACAGAACAGUCAACCAGGUAACAUACAGUCAACCAAAAAUAAAAAAACAUUUAAUACAGUUAACUAAGUCAUCAAUGCUCAACUAACUUUUAAAAAUAUAGCCAUUAGAGUGCAAGAGCAUAACAGAAUUUCAAAUCAGACAACAGAUACAGUCGAAUGUGUGGCGGACAUAGCCGACUCUCAACAUGUAAAACAUUUUGAAAUUCUUUUCUUCUCAAAAUAUCACACAACACUGAUUAUCAAAAUAUAUACAAAGAUUUUAACAUAGUCGAAUUCAUUAGUAAUAAUGUAUUUGACUUCACUAUAACUUGUCGCACAAUAAUAAGUUCAUAAAAGUGCUUGUGGUUUUCAUCUUUGAAACAUGUGCAGUAAAACAUUUGUAAUGAUGCAUUUGCACAUGGCACAUAAAGCAUAUAAACAUGUUCCAGAUAUAUAUCAAUCAAUCAACAUAGGAACAUGUAACAAAGUUCAUAAACAUGUUCAACAGAUAUCACAAUCAAUUAGCAUAAGAACAUGUAAUGCAGUAACAACAUGUGCUUGUUAUUAAGCAAUAUGUUGUCAUCAUCAAAAACUAGAUUGAUAUAGAAAUUGUGUUGUCAACAAUCUCAACAGUCGCCGUCUCCCUCGCCAUCACUGGCGCGACCGACAUUGCCUCCGUCAUCGUCCACGUCCACCACGGUUGCGCCGAAGAACGAAACUUUGACGUCUACGAGAAAAAGAAGGGAGUGAAGAGUAUUAGUGUGACUAAGGUUCAAUUUUAGGUCGAAGGACUUGUGUCAGAUAUUGAUGGAUGAGAAUAGAUGGAAGGGUUUCACACAGAGCAAUGCGAGGAUUAGGAAAAGGGUUGAUGGUGAGUUUAUCACUUUUGAUGGAUCGGUGACUAUUAUUGAUAUGUUAUAGCCGCUCCUACAGCCCACCUGUAGCCUUCCCUACAAGACAUUUAUAGCCUCCCAUACAGAUCAUCUUCUUCUAAUGCACACAAAGCAAAAGGAAGUACCUAUCCGUAGAUAGAACCAUGUUUCGCUCUCAACCACAAGUCAAAUUGACCCUAAACAUAACCAUUAACAUCAAUAUCUAAUUAUCAUCAUGUUCCACAGCUCCUCAGGCUUAAUUCACGUCCAUUCUUCAUCAACUUCAUCAUUUUUCACCAAAAUGCAUUGUGAUAAUCGAUUAUUACUUAAGAUAAUCGAUUAUCUCAGAGAAAUUUACCCAAAAACAUCAUACAGGAAGGGAUAAUCGAUCAUCAACCCAGAUAAUCGAUUAUUUCCGAAACCACACUCAAAACCAACAUGCAAAUAAUCGAUUAUAACUAAUGAUAAUCGAUUAUUGUUGAAUCGAAACACAUCCUCGACAUGGUUCAAGCAUUCAAACAUACAUACAUCAAUCCUAGAUCACGUGGAAACAUAGUUAACUCAUCAUACAUGCAUUCAAGCAUCUCAUACCCAUGUAAACAUACUUAAAAACAUGUAAUACAUCACUUGAAUCAUCAAGAUCCAAUCACUGACAUGUCACUUAAUGCUUGCUCAAAACAACAAAGUGUUUUUUGAUUUCCUACCGUUACGUAGCAAUUUUAAAACUUUGAUCAACCUUUUAAGAAAUUUUUGCAAAAAAUAUAUAUGACAAUAGUUGUUCAAAUAACCAUAGUCAUAUGUCAUUCCCUGAAAAAAAAGGUCACAAUUUUGAAAUUCUAAUCAAUCUUUUUGCCUCAAUUGUUUAGGGAACCGCGAGUUAAUACACCAAAUUUGCACUAGUGAAUGGUUGUCGUGGAGUAUUGUUUUUGACAAAGGAGGUUCGUUUCCAAUGAGCGGUGUGUGUCACUUUUUCAAAUAUGUCAUAACAAUGGUGACAAGUUCAUAAGGAAGCUUUGGUGGUAGGCGAGGAGCACUUCUCCCUUCCUCUUCUAACGACACUUGUGGUGCUUGUUGGUAGAGAGGAAGUGAAGAUGAAGAAGCUUGGAUGGAGAAGAAGAAAAAUUGUGGAAAUAAUUGUUGUGCAUGGAUGGAGAUGAAGAAAUGAAUAUAUAUUGACAUUGAACGUGAGAUUUAAAAAGGAAAUUUGUCGUUUUUAUAUCGACAGAUUUAUCUGUUGAUAAUAAAUUAUAUAAUUAUCAAUAAAAUUUAUAUGUAAUACAUAUUUUAUUUAUAAACAAAUUUUAUUAAUAAUUUUUUUAAAAUAAAUUAAAUUUGUAAAUAAUUAAAAUUUUAAAAUUUAUUGAUAAUUUAUAUUUAUCGAUAAAUUGAUUUGCAUUUAUAAAAUUUUGUGGUAAUCAUGAUUUUUUGUAAUGUAAAAAAAAAUCAUAAACACAAAAGUAAAGACUAAUUUUAAAAAUCAAAUGUUUUAAAUAUGAAAUAUAGUUGUCAUCGGCACAAACCAAUAACUUGUCAUAAGGGAACAUAAAAAGAAAAGGGAAAGAAAAGAUUAUAGAAAAGAAGAAGUAGAUCGAAAAUGAAACAGCGGUGUAGAAUGAUGAGAAAAUGAGGUAAACCGAAAAUACAUGCAGGGGAUGGGAGGGUUAUAGAACAAAUCAGUGUGGUGGAGGAGAUGUGAGCAUAGUAAAAAAAAUAUAAAGGAUUUCGAUGAUUGUUUAGGAAGAGUUAUAAAAAAGACAGAUGAUGGUUUAGAGACACAGAAAUGAGGAUAUUUUGAAACAUUUCACGUGCAUUGAUUUUAAAAUAAUUAUAAUGAAGGUAAAAAAUAUUAAAUUUUAAAAUCAGAAGUUAAGAAGAUUGAUUAAAAAGAUGACUACAAAAAUUUUUAAAAUUAUCGACAGAAUUUUACCGAUAGACAUAAAUCUAUAGAUAAAUUUGAAUUAUUGACGAAUUUUACAAAUGAAAAAUUUAUUGAUAAAAUCUAUCAAUAAAAAAGCAGGAAUUGUCCCACCUAUUCUUUUACUAAUCGAAGAAAAAAAUUUGUCAGUAAAAUCCGUGAGUCAUGUAUAUUUUACUUACCGACGAAUUUUUCUUCAAUAAUUACAAACAAAAUAAAAUUAUGUCAAUAAUAUAUAUUUCAUUUUUACCAAUAAAUUUUUAGCCAUCGAUCUGUCAGUAAUUUUAUUUUACCGAUAAAUUUUAUACAUUACCGAAGAAUUUUUACCAUCAAUAAUAUUAAUUUUCUUGUAUGUUUUCUUAAUUAUAUUUUUUUAGUUUUAUUUCAAUAUUAUACGUGUCGUGAACUACAAUAAUUAUACUAUACUGUAUACAUGAAUAAAUAUAAGUAUAGGUAUAGGAAAAACGUUUAGAAAAAAAUAAAAUUAUGUAUUUUUUAUUUUAUUUUCACCACUUUUUAUAAAUAUGUAUAUAAAUAUUUCGUGUAUUUUAAGUUGUAAUAUUUAUUAUAUUGAGAUUCCACGUUCAUGAGUUUAUACUGUUUAUAGAUUAUAUUUUGUAGGAUGUUAUAUUAUAUAUUCAUGAAAUAUAUGAGAAAAUAAUUUUUAAAAUAUAUAAAAUUGGACAAAAUAUAAAUAAGAUAUUAACUAAUAAUUUGUUACAAAUUUCUUGUCAUGUUUACGUAAUGCUGAUAAAAACUUUACUUAAAUCUUUAUGGUUUUUUUUCCUACUAUUCUUAAAUGAAUAUAAUAAUAUUUUUUUCAAAAAAUUAUCUUAGUUUAAAAUAAUGUUAUUAACUAUUUACUUAAGUAACUCAUAUAUGUGAUUUAUCCUUGUGUAUAAAUUUUCAAAAUUAAUAUUGAAAUAAGCAUUUAAUUAAUCUGAUAACACUUUGUUGAACUCAAACAAAAUUAUACUAGUUGAACUUAGAUAACUCAAUAAAUAAAAUUUUAAUUUUUGUACGAAGAUGAGUCCAUUUUUGUAGUAUUAUUAAAAAUAAAAAUUGAAAAUAAAUGUGCUAUAAAAGAGCAUAUUUUAAACUAUUUUUAAUUCAGCUGGACGGAUAAUUAACUUUCGUAAGAUGAAGGCUACAAAGGUAUAUUUACACAACUGCAACAAGUGAAAGCUUAAAAAGAACGAAUGUGUGUUACAAGUCAAUCAACUCUGAGAAUUUCAUACAAUGAGUACAUAGAAGUUGAAGCUAAUCAAAAUUGAUCAAAAGUGAUCGUAGAAGCAUAAUGUGAGACGCAAUAAACGUAACAUGUACAAUAGUUAAAUUAUUAACAGCGCUGAACAAUCCUAAGACUCCUAUAAAAUAUAUAGAUAACAUUUGAAACAAACCUAAAAUUGAUCGAUAUUGUUUUCUUCUAUUUCAUGAAUAACUUCCAACUCUAAAUUUUGAGGUCUUGCUGGAAGAACGGUAUUUGUUGUAGAAGAACCAGAAAUAUGAAAAGGAGAAGCGGGUGCUACUAAUUCACAUCCAUGCCCUUCAAGCAUUUGUACCACAGUUUUCAUGGAAGGACGAUCUGCUGGGUUCCAUUGAAUGCACCAAAGUCCUACAAUGGCAAGUUUCUUGGCAAUUUUAGCAUCUCCCUCGUCCUCAAGGCUAAUUUGCACAUCCCUUCCUUCCAACAAGUUGUGGAUCCACUCCGGGUACAGAACUUGGAAACUGUCCUCAACUGAGACAUUGGUAUUCUUUCUUCCUCCAAUCAUUUCUAACAGCAACAUUCCAUAGCUGUAAAUGUCAGACUUGUAAGACACAUUACCAAAAUUCCGAGAGAAAACUUCAGGGGCAAUGUAGCCCAAAGUUCCCCUGGCUGCAGUCAUCGACACCGUGCUCUGAUUUUUUGGACACAAUUUGGCUAGUCCAAAAUCAGUGAUUUUUGGGACAAAAAGGUUAUCUAGCAAAACAUUGUGAGGAUUGAUGUCAAAAUGAAGAAUUCUAUGAUCACAGCCGAGGUGGAGAUACUCAAUUCCUCUGCCAACACCAAGAGCAAUUUGUUGCAACUUCUCCCA